rnacentral:lncRNA from 1 species
UAGCUAAUUCAUUGAAUUGUUCAUUGGUCAAUUCAAGUUAAAGAUGCUUGUCUUUGUUUUUUGUGAUAACAAUAAACAUGUCUUUGUUAGUGCAAGAGACACUUUGGGCUUUUAGAAUGUAAAGUGAUUGUUGAUAAGAAGCUUCAUGGACAAAUCAUGUGAUGUCUUUGACAAGCUUCUUUGUACUUUAGCUUUUUUUUUUUGUAAUGCAGACUUUUGUCUACUGGUUGUGGUUCCUGUAAAAACAUUACUUUACUUUCGUGGGUUAUAGAGAACUUAAAGCAUACUACUUUGCAAGGAGAAAUUUCAUUAUUUGGGUCACGAAAAUAUUAUGCUGGCUGAUUUGGCUAUUUUCUUUCUCUCUGGAAAUUAUCGUUGCCAAAUCUCUGAAUGAAACCAGAUGGUGUUCAGUCAGGCAUAUACAUGUUGCUUUGUUUCGUUUAAGGUUGAUUGGAGCCAAGGGUUCAGUAACCAGGUCCAGGUGGAUCCUUAUCAGAUGAUCACUUUUUCGUUCUAGGUGACUGCUGUGCUAACUGAUGACUUAUGGUGUGCUGCAUCCAUAUUUUGAUAAGUUUGCAACCUUGAAAGAAACUACUGUGUCUCCUGUACAUCUGUUUGCACGGUAUCCUUAGUCUUUCGACGCUAUGGAGAACUCAACACUGUAAGAACUUGCGGCAAUCUGCUGCCCAAGUAUUCUUUACUUAUGUAAGUACAACAUUUCAACGGUCAAGAAAGUAAUGUGUUCCAUCACCUGUAAAAAACAGUUCCUUCCCCUAAGUGUUGGUAUGUGUGGAUGCAUUUCUGUGCCUACAUCAAUUAGUGUUUGAAACAUGCUCUGCUUACUCUAGUGACUUACUGGAAACUACUGUUUGGCUGCAAAAACCUGAAACCUCCUCUCCUUGCCUGUUCAUCAUGUCAUUUCAGCAUCUUGAGACAAGGCUGUAUUCCCAUGAUUCUAAAAGGCCAGCUGCACACGCAUCCAUAGUGAUAGAAGGAGAACCCUCACCAGUUCAGAUCUCACAAAUGCAACUUGGAAACUGAUUGAUCUCCCAGUCAUUACAGGCCAGCAUUUCAUUUCUCAAAUGGUAGUUGCAGGCUUUCUUGAGUUGCUACACUGAUCGACCUGAAUCCUGCCGUCAGACGUCCCCAGUUCACCUGCAAUACUAAGGAAAUCAGGAAACGCUAGGCCAGGCGCCGCCAUCGGUGCGUGCGCGUGGGCUUUAUAGGUCCCUCGAUCGCCGUCUCAGGCGACGCGGCCGCCCGCCGGCGUCCGCGGAGGAGAUCAGGACGUAAGAGGAGCGCGCGUGAAGCCGUAAGCAUCGGCUAGGAUAGGUGGAUCUCGACGGAUCUUCGCGCGGGAUGCGUGGGGACGGGCAUAGCACAGCCGCGGAGAGCGGCGGCAGCGCCAUCUCGUCGGCGACUGCAGCACCGCCGGCCUUUUUAUCUGUUGGCACCAGGUAGUUUGUUUUUACAAAUAGGACCUUUAUAUUUACAAAUAGGACCCUAUUUUGCAUCGCGAUUACUAAUCGAGAUCCGAAUAUUUGCAAAACUCCCCCUAUAUCGAUCCGGGUAUUUUCACAAAGCCUACUAAUUACCUUCGCUGUGGUCAGUGAGACGCUCCGCAAUACGCCGGUGGCACGUGCUCAGAGCGUGAGAUUCCGAGAAUGAACUUGAGAAGAAGAAGAAACAAUUGAAGAGGCAGUUAGCCGCCAUAGAUGUUGGGCCGGGGCUCUUGUUGAGCAAGCAGCAGGGAAAGUGAUGGUUUGGAGCAGUAGCGGAGGACGCGACAAAAUCAAGGUAUUGCCGAGACAACGAGCUAAAAAAAUGCAUGCCGCAAUUUAAACGUUUUUCACAACAAGCAAAUGUAAAAUAAGACUGAAAUGAGAGCGAAUGUUCAAGAUAUACCUAUAAAUUACUAGACAUUGCUAGAGGCCUAGAGUCUAGACACUGGAUAAUGUAAAAAUAUACCGUUUUGGUUAAUUUUUUUCUUCCCCUUGCUAUUUUUCAACCAUGGUUAGGAUGGCGGCGGGGCGCUGGCACUCAGCAAGACGGCAAGGACGGCGGCGGAGCGGCGCCAAUGUGCGGAGGCGGGCUGGAGCCUGGAGCCGGACUUGCAGGCAAACUGGCAAAGGCGCGGACACUCCUGGCUCCUGGCAGUGCAGCUCCUGCCGCAGCCACAGCCACCACAGCCACAGCUCCCAAAUUCCCAAAUCCUAGAUCUCUGUGACCGGACUCUCUUAGGCUCUUAGCAGUGCCAUGAAAAGUAAAAACCAAAGAGGAAACCAACUAACCAAGUCACCAAGAAACAGAAGGCAGAGGCGGGCGGCGGCGGCCGGGCGGCGGGCGGGCGGGGGUGGGGCUGCGGGCGGCGGGCGGGCGGGGCGGGGGCGCGGGGCUGCGGGCGGCGGGUGGGCGGGGGUGGGGCUGCGGGCGGCGGGCGGGCGGGGGCGGGGGCGCGGGGCUGCGGGCGGCGGCGUGCGGGCGGCCGGGGGCGGGGGCGCGGGGCGGCGGGCGGCGGCGUGAUGGCGACGGCGCGCGGGGCUGCGGGCGGCGGCGCGCGGCGUGCGGGCGGGCGGCGCGCGGGAGCCUGGAGCAGAGCGGGCGGCGUGCGGAUAGGGUUAGAUUUUUUUAGUUGGGCUGGGCCGAGCCGAGGUAUUGCCCGAGCAAUACCGGGCAAUACCGGGCCCUCUGCCACUGGUUUGGAGGCCCAAUAAACUAACAAUGACGCAGGCCCACCGCAUUCUCGGUCUGGGGGUUAGGUUACGUAGGACUUGGACUAGCGGACCAGCCGGGCCCGCCCGGGUUCUCCUUUUCUUCUUCCGCGUUCUUGCCGUGUGGCACGGUGCGACGGCUGUGACUGGGAGGAAAGUAGAAACCCCCAAACCCUCCUCCCCUUCUCCGCGCACCACCUGCCGCCGGAAACCCUAGAUCUCCCCCGACCCAUGGAUCCGCAGCAGCCGGUGUAGCUUUGCUUCGUUCUCGGACUUCGGUCACGCCGACCUUGCGACGGCUGAGCUCGCUAGCAAGCAGGGGUCUCUAGGAUUGGAUUAUUUGAUUCCUUUCUGGAGCUGCGGCUUCGGUUUUUGUAUCCCCCAAUCCUGUGAUCCGCUGCUAAAUCGAGGGUUUAAUCUGGGAUUGGUCCUGAGAUUUGGCGUUUUUGUUACUCCCGGCCUGUUCUGCUUUCCCAUGACUAGUGUUUAGUUUUAACUUUUUCGUCUCCGCUAUCUUCCUCAAUCCUUUUCUUUUAUGCGAAAUAAGGAGAAACUGGAUUUCACUUUCGUUUUAUUUGAUUUGGAAACCAUGUAACUUGGAUCUCUUCUAGUCUAUAUGCAGGGUGUUACAUGAUACUUUAAUUCCCACCCUUGACACUUGUAUAUUCUGUAAGAUGAGAUGCAUUUGUUUUUUUCCUAUGUGUACAACUCUACCUUCACUUGUAUCCUGAAACAGGCGUUUAACACUCCUUUGGAUAUCACUUUGUUUGCCACAUUCUUCACUGUUUAAGUUUAUGUUCUUCAAAAUCCAAAUGACAUCGCUAGCAUACUUUAUCUGUUCUUGACCCCACUAGUAGGGCUUCUGAUAUACAACUUAUGUUCUUCAAAAUCCAAAUGACAUCGCUAGCAUACUGUAUCUGUUCUUGACCCCACUAGUAGGGCUUCUGAUAUGCAACUUAGUACGGUAAACAUUUUGCAGUCCGCAGUGCUACACUUAGGUUACUCAAUGAGGUUUUGUAGGAUAUUGUGCUACUAAGUUCUGAACAUUACUUGUACCUUUGCACUAACUGAAAAUUGUGGUGAUUUUGAUUUUCUUGUGUCCACAGUUAGAACACAGCAUUUCAUUUAUCUUAUUAUCUAUGAGUUUUCUGGUUCAGUCAUUACAGAAAGGGACUGAAGUUGUCAUGUAGCUAGCAACCUAGUACUUUGUAUAGCCUUGUGCACUUAAAAAAGACAAAUUAUGUGCCCAUUCAAAAGUGAUGAUUGAUUUAGUUAUUGUUACAGUUGGUUAACUUAAUUGUAUCCAAAAGUCUUGUCAUUAACAGUUAAAAUAUAGCCAGGUGUGAGCCCUUAUAAACAUAUACAUGGGAAGCCUUUGAUAUAUCCUAUAUGUUUCUCACAUAAUAGCAAAGUUCAUCCCAAAUCUUAUAUUAUUUGAAAUGAGCCCAUAGCUGCAGCUUGCCUUCGAAACAUAUCUAUGGGGAUAUGAUGAGGUUAAACUGCGAUAACUGAACUUAAUGGUUUAGAAGGAGAUUACCUGUAAUAGGGGGGAGGUUGUCGCCUGUCUUUUAGUUAAAGCCAUAGAUAGUUAAGGGUUUAGUGUGGACAUAGGGUUAUCUACAUAAAGAUUGGUUGUGGUGGCAUGCCACAAAAUGUUGGGACGGCAGUACUGCACGUAUCAUGUAGGAGCAUUGCUGAUUUUACUCCUGAAAUGCAGUGAAAUGUCCUUCAUUGUCAAGGAUUAAAACAGGCACCUGAUCUUUUAGACACUUUUAGUAUGUAAUACUUACUGCUUAGGAAAACGACAAUUUUCAUACAUUGACCUUUAUUGUUUGACAAACAUAGUGCAACGUAUAGGAACAGCUUAGUCUGAAAAUGGUAGUUGAAUUAGGAUUGCGAAAUUUGAUAUAUGGUUGAUAACCUGAAUUUGAUAUGCAUUCUUCACUUUAUCUUUGCCCCCAUGUGCAAUUUCUCACUAAAUGUUUUGUUUCUUGUACAGUUGUCCAAUAUGAAGCGCGCUGAAGACAAAAGGAGAAACAGAAUGCUGUUAGUCGUCCCUCUACCUAUGUAAUGAGCUUCCUGAGGGAAAUGGAAAUGUAAGACGCAAUGUUUGAAUGCUGUGUGCGUCCAUUGGACUCGAGAGAUAUUACAGUACUAUGAUUGGUGACGGGUCUUGUUGACUCUUGAGUGGUGCAGAUCUAAUGCAUGCAUUAUACCUGAAUUGUUCACGGGCCUUUUCCAUUUUUGCCUCCGAUGCUCCAUCUACUUUUAUAAGAUACAUCCGCACAUGCAUAUCAAGAUUCAAACUUUGCAAUCUUUGACCAUUAAUUCUACUAUUAAUUUUUUAUUUUUAUAAUGUAAACUUUAUGUGAUUGGAUUCGUAAUCAAAUAUACUUUACCAUGCAUAUAAGUUUAUAACCAUAAAUGAUAUAGUAUAUGAUAAAUGAAUGGUCAUAGUGUUAUUUAGAUGACCGUGCCAUGUUAUACUAUGCCUUGUAAAAAUGGAAGGACGGAGUAUAACUGAUGGAAACUUUGUGUAAGUUAGGUCGUAUGAUUUGUAGCGUUCCCUUGUAUUUUCGCAAGGAGAGACGCAGACAAGCGUUGCCAGCGGUAUGGGGUUGGCUGUGGCGGCACCUUUGGCUUGUCCCUACGCCGACGCCCAAGCCGUGGUUACUGAUACCGGUUUCCACCGCCGCCUGAAACGGCAAGAUUGAAGGUGGAGGGAAAUGGUGUUGAAAAAUGAGAAUUACUUUUUCCUCUGCCAAGGGCAUUGCAGUGCCCAUUGAUGGAGCAAGUAGGACACUGCCUGCCAUUCGAGUCUUGGCGAGGGUAGGGACCGGCGCACCCGACCCAACAGUCCAAUUUUAAAUAGUCUGUAAAAUAUAAAUUCCAAUAAAAAUUAAUAAAAAUUAAGUAGAUGGGCAUCUCCCGUCCGUUGGUCGGACGGGAUGCCUCCCGCCCACUGGCCGGGCGCGAUGCCUCAAGGACCUCUUCGCGAAUAAAAAGUUUUCCUUAUUCGCAAAGAGGUUCUCGGGAGGGGCCUGCAAAUUUUUUUGGAACCUCCCGUCCGCUGGAUGGGCGGGAGGACGCAUCCUGGGCGGGAGGUACCUAUUUUUCGAAUUUUAUUUUUUUAUUCCUUUUUUAAAAAAUUUAGUCCACGGCCCAACAGUCCGCGGCCCAGAUGGUGCGCGCGACAAGCUGUCGGCCCGCGUGUCAUGGUUUUCUUUUUUUUUUGUGUAUCUGAGCGAUUGCCGCGCGUCACGGCUUGUCUCGCCGCACAGGCUACGCAGACAUGAUGAUGCGCGCGCACGGGUCCGUGGUCGCGCGUAGUACGUCUGGCGGGCGACGCAGGCACGGCAAGAGAGAACACGUACCCGAAACCGAAAGCGUCUCAGCGCCGCGGCCCGCGCCACGCGGCGGACAAAAAGGCAGCGGCUCCAUCUCGCGCUGCCGCUGUAGCCCUGCGUGCGUCGCAUCCAUCGCGCGUGCGUUACGUGCUCGCCUGGCCACGCAGGGGCUGCUGGUCUGCAGGUCUGGCGAGGCAACGCGCGGCGCGGAUGGCGCCCCCGACGGCCCUCCUCCUGCAGGCCGCGGCCGCCGGCUGCCCCACCGACGCGCGCUCCUCGCCAACGGGCUCGGCCUGACGCCGCAGAUGGGGUGACUGGACUACCGACGAAUCAUCAUCUUUUCCAGCGUUCAGAAUCGCGCGCGGAGGCUUCCGCCCGAUGCUCUCUCUCGGGUGUUUGUGAUCCGAGCUUGGGUGCUGCUUUUCUUCUCCGACUGAUCCCUCGUUCCCGCGGUCCCAGGUGGAGCAGAGCAGCUGGAACCACUUCCAGUGCGACAUCAACGAGACGGUCGUCCGGAGCACCGGUCAGUCAGAGACCACUCUCAACCCAUAUCGUAUCUGAAUCUAUGGAUGCUGUUGCUGACUGACUGCACGUACGCUGUUGAUUCCGACGACGAACAGCGGACGCGCUCGUCGCCACCGGCCUCGCCAGGGCAGGGUACACGUACGUCAACCUAGGUGCGGUCUCUUUGCCUGGCUCUAAUUCAGAGUUCAUACGUGUUAAUUUGUUAUCCGAGUUACUGACAGAUGACACCGCCGUACCUGCCUGCCUGUUCAUGGCAGAUGACUGCUGGGCAGAUUACCAAAGGACCAAAAAGGUAUAUCACCAGUAGUGCUAGCUAUUUCAGCUCAUCGUCAGUUACUGUACCUUUGCUGUUGGUUCCUGCACUGAGCAUUGUUCCAGCACGAUCGGUCUAGCUGCAAACUAGAACAGAUUAUCUUUGCUAGUAAUUGACUUGCUGACAGGGGUACCUGGUCGCUAAUCCCAAGACGUUCCCAUCUGGGAUCAAGGCCCUGGCGGAUUAUGUCCACGGCAAGGGGCUUAAGCUUGGCCUCUACUCUUCAGCUGGGUACGUUUUUCUUUUCUUUGUUUUUUCCCGGUUACAAGACGUAUACAACACAGUUGAUUUGUUCAGACUGAAAAAACUUCUGACAAUCCAAAAGUACACGAAGAGUUGAUAUAUGGGAUAUGACUCGAAAAUCCGAUCUUCAGGACAAGAACCUGCAGCGACAAGAACCAUAAGUAGUUUUUACUUAUGGUAGCUCUAUGUUAGUUCGGAAUUAAUUAGUGGGUAGUAGGAUUUUUUUAGGCUGUGAUGGGGAGGGGGCACAUUCUCUAUGCAGUAUUUUUUGUCUUUUACAAACCUGUAGCAUAACAAGCACUUCAUCGUUAAGCAACAAUCUAUUGUACGCUGUCAGUGAUCAGUUUACGGUUGCAAAAUUCAUUUAUAAUUGCGCAAGUACAAACAAUAUAAUUGCUUGUUUACAUAAGUACAGCAUAUAUGAGUUCCUCUUUUUCUUCACCUUUUUUAGUUGUAUGAAUCUGUUUGUAAAUAAAACAGAGUUAUAUAAGCACACCAUUCAUGCUUCUUUAAGCACUCGAUGGAUGCGCUUUUAACCCAUCUUGGCUCCCACUCAGUACUAAAAUCUCCCUAGGCAAUAACAUGGUUUCAUAUUGGCAAAUUUCUAUACUUUAAUAGGCAAAAUAUAAGGUAUCAUUAGGCAAUAACAUGGUUUCAUAUGAGUUGUAGAACUCCCUUGCUUCUUGCUUAGUACCAAACAUUUGCCCAGUGUAGGUGUUGACCAAAUCUCCUCCACAAUUGCUACAUCUGGUGGGUUAUCAGCAUUUUGUAUGCACAUCUGGGGUGAUUUCAGCUAAAUUGUUGCCAACAACAGCUAAAUUGUUGCCAACUGCAGCUAUAUUGUUACCCAAAACAGUUGAGUCUUGAAGUUUUGGAUCAUACUCCUUGUCAUUUACUCCUCUCUCCCAAGGACUGGUUGAGUGCAAUAGGGAGGAUUGGUAUCUGAAUCAUCUAGAAAUUCAUAAUCAAAUUCGGGUGGAAGCUUGUUUAAAUCCAUUUUAAUUUCCCUACACAUACCAUUUCCAGCAAGUCACAAAACUGAUUAGACAGCAGGAGCACCAAAGCAUUUUUACAUGCAUCAAAAGGCAACUAAAUAUGCAUCAUCAGGCAAUAAUGUAUUGUGAAAACAUGUAGUUCAGUCAUUUUUCCCAGGCAAAUCUUUGUAUUUCUUUUUUCAAUUUUCUAAUUUUGUUCCUGAUUUUCAAUCUUACAGGUACGCAUCUACAACAGUGGAAAUUUUUUGGGAGGGGGGAGCAAUGAGGUGGAUCCAGCACAUUUGUCUUGUCCGGAAGUUCAGUUUUUGCACUUCUAGCAACUUUGUAACACAAGAUCUGCAUUUUUGCAUCAGGGGAUGUCUUUUUUCCUGUGGAUCUCUUUUUGUUGCUGGAACCCUAAAAACAUGUAUCUGUAGAUGAUGGGCACAUAUAAAAAUCUCUUGUGUCUGUUUUGCUUUUGUGUGCGGCAAGAGGCAGUGGCAGUGCUGGAGUUCCAGUUCCUUUUGCUGGGCAAUUUAGGGUGCGUUUGGUUCAGCUGUGAGCUGUGAAAAAGCUAUUAUCAGAUGCCUGCUGUGAAAAAGUUAUAUGUUGUCUUUAUGCAAAUUGACAGUAUACAAUAUUUCUUUGUGAUGACCAAUUUUUUCCCUUUAAAUCUUUAUUUUUAUACAUAUAAAAAUAUUUGGAGUUAACUUUUUUUAUUUUUUUAUUUUUAUUUUCCUAUACAUGAAAAUCUUUAUUUUCUUAUAUAUAAAAAAGAAUUGAAAGGGUAUAUAUGUGACCAAUAGUAAAAGCUGCAAAAGUAGGGUACAACCUGCUUUCAAAUUUGUACUACAGAAAAACAGCUUUUUCAAAGCAGCUGCACAAAAGCUGAACUUGUAAGAAGGUUCAGAAAGCUGAACCAAACACAACCUUAGCAGGAGGGGAAGGGAGAAGGUGUUUGCGGGGACCACGGGUUUUUGCUUAUUCAGCGCGCGACCAGCGCUGCUUGUCGGUGUUUAACCGGCUGCCCACCGAGGGAUAUGCCCAAGGUGGUAAGUUUUGGGUGAGGAGACGCCGAGAUCAGGAACUCGAAGGUGCAAGGAACACAAGACUUAGACAGGUUCGGGCCGCACAGAGCGUAACACUCUACGUCCUGUUUGGUUUGUAUUGACUUUGGUGUGGAACGAUCUAAUGAUCUUCUGUUUUGAGGGGGUCCCUGACCUCCCUUAUAUAUCCGAGAGGUCAGAGUUACAAAGAUGCUAACCAACCCCCGUCAAGGGAUCAUACCAGAACACAUCUCGAGUAGAUCCUCUCCGUGUUGGUUAACUCUAUCUCCUAUUUAAACGGGAUAAACAAGAGAUAAACCAAAUGAGUAAGAGAUAAGACGGGCUUAAUCUGUUAAACUACGUAAUGUGCCCAACCCGAUGGCCCCGGGUCUGACAAGCCCCCGAGCUCUUCGUAGCUGAGUACUGCAGGCUUAUCGAGUACUUUCGAAGCAGUCUUCGACUUCUUCUGAAGCUUCGUCUUGAAGUCAUUCUUCGAGUACUUGUUUGGCUGUAUCGAAGCUAUGAGGUGCUCAUGCCCUGAAUUUCUAUUAUGGCGUGCGAUUUAAAAAUCGCACUCCAUAUGGAGUAGCCCCCGAGCCUUAGGUUGAAUCGGAGAAUCAGGCUGAGGGUCCCAUUUGUCUGUGACCCUACUUAUCCUUCAAAAGAUUUGAAAAAAUAAGUAGUCGAUGCCACGUAUCCCGCAGCCCCCGAGCCUUGAAUCCAAAUCCCACAAAAUUUGGAGAUAAGGAUCCAAUAACCGUGGCAUGCAGGCGAAUAAUGACAACUUGCAAAAUUACCAAAACGAUGGUACGGAUGAUGGGUAUUAGAUUAUUAAUUCGAAAAAACGCUUUUUUCAGGCGGACAAACCCUGAAAAAAUGAUUAAUCAAAUAUCCAAUCCAAAUAAUCCAUCAAACGACCCCUCAGAUUCGGAAUAUUCUCGGACGUGACUCCUGAACUUCAGAACAGUAACUUUUCCCCACCCCGCUGGUUAUUUAACCCCGCGAUAACGGUAGGAAAAAACCACGCUUUCAAUCUGCAUUCCAUCAAAAGCCACCGAAUUCCCCAAUCCGAGCCAAGCGCCGCCACCAUCCCCCCAAGAAGAUCCUCCCGCUCCAACCUCCCCGCCCCUCUCCCUGCAGCCCCCGAGCAUCUCGUGGCCAGCGCAUCGGAGAUGGCGUCCAAGAAGUCAGAGAUCGAGGGAAAGAAGAAAGAUGCGGAGCCAACGACCACGGAGUGGACACACAGUAAGUGCUCCCUCAACAAUCUAAACAAGCUAGUUUCCGAGGGGUUGCUUCAAGAAAAGAACCUUGUCAACUGGCGCCCCUCUUAUCGUGAACCUCUCCCCAUGGAGAAUGUCGACGAAGUUGUCACAUUCUUCCAUUUUUCCGAACGGGGAUUGGCCCUCCCCACUUGUUCCUUGUUUCGCGGCCUUCUUUAUUACUACGGGCUUGAGCUCCAUCACCUCAACCCUAAUUCCAUUUGCCAUAUUUCCAUUUUCAUCCAUUUCUGCGAAGCAUUUCUCGGAAUUGAACCCCAUUGGGAUCUAUUCCGCUUUCUCUUCCGCAUCAAGCCCCAGCCUACCACAAAGAAACUUGCCGUAGUAGGGGGCGCCGGCAUCCAACUGCGACAGCAGGCCGGCGAGAAAUACCUUUCGUACAAAUUCCCUUCAAACCUUCCUGGGUGGAAGAACCAAUGGUUUUGCAUCGAAAAUCAUACCCCCCAACUUCCGACGAAGUCGAGCAGACCGCUAGUGGUGAGGGGGGAAUGGAACCUUGAACCCUCCGGCAUGGAGAUGAUUCAAGUCCGAGAGCUGCUGGAGGCCAUCGAGGCACAGAAAAAGAAGGGAGUGACCGGCACCUCCGUUAUGUUCUCAUUUUACAAACGCCGCAUCCAACCCAUCCAGCAGCGCUGUUGCCUGGGCUUCGAGUACACAGGCCCCGCUGACCCUUCUCGCAUGUGCACAGAGGAGUUGCCAGAUAAAGUCGCACUCCAGCGAGUUCAGCGGGUGCUGCUAGACGUGGACGCCGUGCCGUACGUGCCCACGUUGUUCUCCGCACGAAAUCCGCCCAAGCUGGUAAGUAUUCGACUUCUUUUCGUUGGAGAAAUCUGAUGUUGUACCGUUACUUAACUGAAAAACUUUCUGCAGGGACACACGGAGCUGUACUGUAGCUACCCGCCGUAACCUGACCUCCCCCGAGCCUAUCAUCUCCUCCCUUCUGCUGCCACUGCAGCCAAGAAGGCUCGCCUUGCUGUGUCUCAAAGUCGAAACGAGUCCGCCGAAUGCGUGGACUCGCAGGCGGGAGAAGGAGCCGAAGGAGAACCACGCUCUUCUGCUGCCGUUGCAACCAAGGGGGGCUCGCCUUGCUGCGGCUCAAGGCAGCAGCGAGUCCACCGAAUGCGUGGACUCGCAGGCGAGCGAAGGAAUCGAAGGGGAACCGCGUCGGGACAACUCCUCCGACCAGAGCGUGGAGUUGACCGGCGCUCUACCACCGGUGCCGAAGGGCCAACGACAAGUGCGCAAACGCAAGGCACAAGAAGUCGAGUCUUCCAGGUACUGAGUUGCUGUUUGGGCUAGUUGCGAAAUGUCAACGAUGCGGCAUACUGAUAGCUUCCACUUAUAGUCUCCCCGCUCUACCACCCGAGACUGAGCCCGAAAGAGUGGAAACAGGCCCCUCUGCCGUCGCUGCGGUGACCAUUGCUGUGGUGGGGAUCCCCCAGUCGGCCGACCAAGCCUCGCCGCCAGCAACAGGCACUCCUCGACGGGCCUGGCGGGUGAAGAAGGCCGCCAAAAAGAAGUCGACACUGUGAGUUUCCCUCCUGCCGCUUGAAAAUCUUGCUCUUGCCCACUUGGAUAACAAUGUCUUCGAUAUCAUCAGGGCUGCGAGCGCGGUGCAACUCCAGAUGGACCCAGGCGCGGCUACUACGGCCCCGGAGCCAGCAACCCGGGCUAACCCCGCCGGUGCGGAGCCGGCCCCGGCCGCCGCUGCCUCCGAGCCAUCGGCGCCUGGAGAACCAGUGCCUACGGAGCUGGCCCCUGAGGCAGAUGCGACGCUCCCCGACUUGCCGCCUCCCGAGCUCCGACAAGACGAAGCCGAAGCUGGUGGCGGAGAACAAGUCGAGGCCCCUGGAGCCGCUCCUACUGAUGGCACAGGUAAGCGCUUAUCCGCCCGCGGCUAGCUACCGAGAGCUGGGCGCAAUGUGUUGACUGCAUUGCAUACUUGCAGGUGUCCAGCAGCCGGCGUCCAGGGAUACCGCCGGGUCCUUGGGGACUCCCCGUGAGAUGCUGAGGGCCGGGCCGGGGUACCAGAACGUCAUCACCACCGACCUGGUGGACGACCUCCUGCUGACGGCCGAAAAUCUGAAGACCUUCAAGAGCACCUUCAAGGAGUUAUACGACUUCUCCAUGGUAGUAUUUGGGUAAUGUUCCAGAUGUGCACAUUGGUGAAUUGUUUAUGGCUCAAUCUCCGCCUUUUGCGCAGCAUGUAAUCACCAAAUCCCAGAGGAAGUCGGAGAAACUCCGCGCGGUUGUGAGUGACGCGCGAGAGUUAGCUGCCCUGGACAAGCGCGUCUCCGAGGAGAUUACGAAGAAUUGCUAUCUGCAGCAAGAGCUGGACAUACUGAAUCAAGAAAGAACUCGAGAGACCUGGCUGCUCAAGAAUGACCUGAAGAACCUCGAGAAGGCCAACUCCGAGCUCCAACAACAACUCAAGGAGCAACAAGCAGAGUACCAGGAGCAGCUCAAGGCUGAGAAGAAAGCGCACCAAGGUAGGCCCUCGCUUCUCUCGAGUACUUUUCCUUGGCAGCUCCCCUUAGAUGCUGAAGUACCCUUACCACAGAGCUUAGGAAAAUAACGAAACACAAAGAGGAGCUGCUUACUGACGUGAAGAAUAUGCUGUAUCGUCGUACAGAUGAUGUCGAACGGCUGCAGAAGGUGAUCGGCGAUACUGAACGUCAGUUCGUCGACUGCCUUCAGCAAGUCAAGGCGCUGGGCGAGAAGGACGAGCAGCUGCACAAGGAGCUGGAGGACCUCCGGGGGGCCGCCCAGGAGCUGGUGGACAUGGUGGAUCCCCCAGAAGAAGGCGAGGCAGGCCCGCGGCCCCUGCUGGAGCGACUCCGUGAAGCCCCGAAGAAAAUGCUCAAGUUCCUAUCUGAAGCUCCAAUCGCGUGCGUGAGCAACGCCCUCGCCUAUGUAAAGUCCUUCAUGCCAAACGCGCAGCUGGGCAUUUUUGCACAAGGGAUGGCGGCGGAUUGCACGGAUGAGCGAUUCGAAGAGUACUUGCAGGAAGCCCAACCUGUAGCAGAACAAAUUGUACACAACGUACUGCAGGAUUAGGGUACGAGAAACAAAUAAUCAUUCUCUUAUGUAAAUACUUCACUUGAUAUCUAUACUUGUUUGCGUUCCUUAGCUGAAUUGGGAUCCGGGCUUACAAGCGCAAGUAGUAGAUGCUUCCCUGGGUGCAACGACCCGAAGGGUGGCUAGGACUUGUCUAACAGAUUAGCCACAACUCGAUAGAGCGGGUUUAGACUUGUUAGGAAAGAACGCGAGCGUCGUCGCGGGGUUGCCGUGCAUAGGGCAAAAGAGGGACUACCCCUAGUGCGGCGAUUCGGAGUGUAGUCGAAGAGCGCUCCUUCUGUGAGCGUGCCCCGUAAGCUAGGUAGGACCCGGACGGAUCAAGCUUGCUAGGAGCAGGUGCGGGCGGCGCCGCGGGUUUGCCAUUCUUUGGGCAGAAACGAGACUAUUCUGAGUGCAGCCACUCAGGAUGUAGUCGAGAGAGCUCGUUAUGCGAGCCUUUCCAGCGUGCUGCUGUGAAGCUAGUCGAGCGGAUCGACUGCGUUGGAAAAAAAUGUGACUGCUGUCGCUGGCGACCAUCCGAGGUUGCGGCGGAACUCAAUGUGCAGAGGAGUUAGCCGGAGCCGAGGGUUCCGUCAGGAACGGGAGUCGAAGGGAGAUGAUCGUGGCCAUAGCCCCCGCAUCAUUCACGACAAGAAGUCGAUUUAUGUACAUAUGUGUUUGCACGUGACCCUGGCCAUCGUGUAAGUAAAAAGGCAGGUACAAAACGAGUCGUGUGUCUCAUAGCCUCCAAGUUGACACGGGGAGAAAAGACCUUCUGAGCCCUCGGGGAUUUAGCGAUCACCGGGCCUCGUCUUAAGGGUAGAAUUUGCGCAGGUUCUGAAUGUUCUAGGAGUUCGGGACAUCCUGACCUUCCGGAUAUUGUAGUCGAUAAGAACCGGGCGUUGUAACCUGCUUGACGACGAACGGGCCUUCCCACCUUGAAUUGAGCUUGUGUAGGCCAGACUCGUCCUGGAUAUGAUGCAAAACCAAAUCACCAACACUGAAUGACCGCUCCCUGACAUUGCGAUCAUGAUAUCGCCGAAUCCCCUGCAGGUACCGAGCUGACUGAACAAGAGCGGUGCAGCGAGCUUCGUCCACAGAAUCGAGCUCUAACUGCCGCGCCUCGUCCACCUCGCCUUCAUUGUACAUUUCGACCCUUGGAGACUUCCACAUGAUAUCGGCUGGUAGAAUAGCUUCAGAUCCAUAUACGAGGAAGAAAGGUGUUUGUCCUGUGGCUUUGGACGGCUGAGUCCGAAGCCCCCAGACGACAUGUGGCAGCUCAUGCACCCAUUUGCCUCCCUUCUUGCUAUUUGCAUCAUAAAGUCUCUUCUUGAGGCCGUCAAUGAUCAAACCGUUCGCCCUUUCGACUUGUCCGUUGGCCCUUGGGUGUGCAACCGAGACAUAUUUAACUUCGAUACAAGCAUUCUCGCAGAACUCCCAGAACUGGUUCGCCGUGAAGUUGAACCCCAGGUCCGUGAUGAUGGAGUUGGGGAAGCCGAAACGAUGCAGAAUAUCUAAGAUGAAGUCGACGACCCGAUCCGGCGUGAGCUUGGCUAUCGGCUUGUACUCGAUCCAUUUAGUAAACUUGUCGAUAGCCACAAGAACAUGGGUAAAACCGCCUGGCGCCGUCGUGAAGGGCCCGAUCAUGUCAAGACUCCAACAAGCAAAAGGCCAGGAUGGCGGUAUGGUGAUAAGGCUGUGAGCUGGAACAUACGUCAGUUUGCCGAAGAAUUGACAAUUUUGGCACCUGCGCACGAGAUCCUCCGCGUCGGUUACUGCGGUGGGCCACCAGAAACCAGCUCUGUACGCUUUUCCCACCAGCGUUCUCGAAGCCGCAUGGUUGCUGCAGACGCCAUCGUGGAUCUCCCGCAGUAUGUCGUAGCCAUCUUCCUUUGUGACGCACUUCAUGAGAACCCCUGACCGAGCGCCUCGCCGAUAGAGCUUGCCGUCGGCCAGGACGAAACCCUUGCUUCUGCGUAAGAUGCGAGCUGCGUCUGCGCUCCUAGCGUCAAUUCCCACUGGUAAUCGUUGAUCUCGAAUGAAGUCUAUAAAAGCCUCUCGCCAGUCCUCUUCCAGCACCAUAACCUCUCGAUCGGGUUGUUGGGGACCCACGUCGAUGGUUACCUGCGGAGAAGACUUGAUGGAUGGCUGCUUGAGCUCCUGAACGAAGACUCCCGGCGGGACCUGAGCGCGCGUGGACCACAUUUUGGACAGGAUAUCUGCGCCGACGUUGUGCUCCUGCAAUACAUGAUGAACCUCCAGGCCGGAGAAGUUGCUCUCCAAUUUGCGUACUUCCUAGACAUAGGCAUCCAUUGUCUCCUUGUUGCAGUCCCAUUCCUUGUUGAUCUGUUGAACGACAAGAAGAGAAUCGCCAUAUAUAAGUAGUCGCUUGAUCCCUAGUGAUAUCGCCAAACGAAGCCCGUGAAGCAAAGCUUCAUACUCGGCUUCAUUGUUGGAUACCGCCCACAGGAUCUGAAGGACGUAUUUCAACUGCUCAUCUCGUGGAGAAAUAAGCAGAACCCCAGCGCCACCACCGUCGAGCUUGAGAGACCCAUCGAAAUACAUGGUCAAAUGCUCUGGCUUGUCCACUGGGGUUGGUACUUGAUUCUCCCUCCAUUCAGCCAUGAAGUCGACUAGAGCCUGCGACUUGAUUGCAGUGCGUGGCUUGAAGUCGAUUGACAAAGCCCCCAGUUCCACUGCCCACUUGGAUAUGCGACCCGUGACAUCUUGAUUAUGAAGAAUAUCCGCCAGCGGGAAGUCCGUGAUCACAGUGAUCUUGUACUCGUCAAAGUAAUGGCGUAGCUUUCUUGAUGUGAUUAAGAUUGCAUACAAGAGUUUUUGAACAGCUGGAUACCGUACCUUGGAUUCGGAAAGGACUUCGCUGACGAAGUAGACAAGCCUCUGCACUCCAAACGCAUGGCCUUCUUCGCCUCGCUCGACUAUAAUAGCACUGCUGACAACAUGAGUUGUUGCCGCGAUGUAAAGUAGCAGAUCCUCCCCAGGCAACGGUGCUGUAAGGAUUGGAGGUGAUUGCAGAUAAUGUUUCAGAUCCUGCAAGGCCCGCUCAGCCUCCUCCGUCCAUUGGAACUUAUCCUGGCGUUUCAAGAGCUUGAAGAAGGGCAGUCCUCUCUCCCCGAGUCGGGAGAUGAAUCUGUUCAGAGCCGCCAUACAACCUGUUAACUUGUGCACAUCCUUGAUUGUAGCCGGGGCCUCCAUAUCAGUGAUGGCCGUGAUCUUGACAGGGUUGGCUUCAAUGCUCCGAUUGCUGACGAUGAACCCGAGCAAUUUUCCUGAAGGGACUCCAAAGACGCACUUGGUGGGAUUGAUUUUCCACCGAAAUCUGCGCAGACUGCUGAAUGUUUCCUCCAAAUCUGCGAUCAAAUUAUCAGAAUCCCUGGUCUUGACAACCACGUCAUCCACAUAGGCCUCAACAUUCCGGUGCAGCUGAUCCGCGAAACACAUCUGGAUCGUCCGCUGGUAUGUUGCUCCUGCGUUCUUCAACCCGAAGGGCAUUGUUUUCUAGGCAUAAGUCCCAUACGGGGUGAUGAAUGCAGUCUUGAUUUGGUCCUCCUCCUUGAGCGCGAUCUGAUGAUAUCCUGAGUAACAAUCAAGAAAACAAAGAAGGACACAACCAGCCGUCGAAUCGACAAGUUGGUCAAUGUGCGGCAGCCCAAAAUGAUCUUUUGGGCAAUGCUUGUUGAGAUCAGUGUAGUCAACACACAUUCUCCAUUCAUUAUUCUUUUUCUUUACAAGAACGGGAUUCGCUACCCACUCUGGAUGGAUUACUUCUUUAAUGAAUCCAGCCGCAAAAAGUUUAGCGAUCUCCCAUUUAAUGGCCUCACGCUUGUCAUGGGCAAACCUCCGCAGGCGUUGCUUCUUAGGCGUAGCCUUCGGGUGUACAUUCAAAGCAUGCUCGAUCAACUUCUUGGGCACCCCUAGCAUAUCCGCUGGUUUCCAUGCGAAUAUGUCUCGGUUAGCCCGAAGAAAGCUGACGAGCGCAAGUUCCUAUUUGUCACCCAAGCCCGCACCAAUAACAGCGGUCUUAGAUGAAUCUCCCUCCUAAUGCUGGAUCGUCUUGAGGGCCACAUCAUCAGUCGACUGGAUGCUCGACUAGUUGGCCUUCUUGGAAGGAAUCUCCAGCCCGGUCUGGGAGAGCUGCUGCGCGGCCACGAGUACCUCUCCUGAAGCAUCUGGCACGCGAGUAGUCGAAGCGUAUUGGAUCACCUCCUGAUUGCAGUCGUAGGACUUCUUCAAGUCGCCGCGGAGGGUGAGCACUCCACCGAGUCCUGGCAUCUUAAAAAGCAGGUAGACAUAAUGUGGCACUGCCAUGAACUUGGCAAGUGCCGGACGACCCAGUAUUGCAUGAUAAGAAGAGUCAAAAGUAGCCACUUCGAACUUGAUGAAUUCAGUACGAUAAUUCUUCCGCGUGCCGAAGGUGACUGGGAGGACCACCGUACCAAGCGGGUGCGCCGCAUUACCUGGGACGAUGCCGUAAAAGGGGGAUUUGUUGGGAACCAGCAUAUCCUUGAAAUCCAGGUCUAUUUUCUUCAAGGUGCUGACGAAGAUGAGAUUGAGCCCGCUCCCGCCAUCAAUGAGGACCUUGAUAAGAUUGACCUCCGCCACCACAGGAUCCAGGACCAAGGGGAACUUGCCGGGCUCGGAAAAGCUUGUCCACUGGUCAUCACGAGAGAACGAGAUGGGGACCUCCGACCAACGGAGUGGUCGUGGUACCGCCUGCUCGAUGGACAAAAUCUCCCGGAGGAGCAGCUUCUGAUCCCGCGUGGAACAGAAAUCCUCGUCUCCCCCAAAGAUGACGUUGACCACCUUUGACGCGUCCUGAAACUUCGGGUUGCGCCUAUGAUCCUCCUGAUCAUCAUCCUCGGGUUCUUUGUCAGCAGGCUUCUUGUUCUUCUUUCCGCCACCGGAGUUGAUGAAAGUCCUCCGAAGGUGGUAGCAGUCGAUGGCAGCGUGGUUGGCGCCCGGAUGCCAUGGGCACUUCUUCUGCAGGAGCUUUUCGAACUCCUCCUACGUCAUCGACUUCUUGCCCCGCAAAGGAUGAUCGAUAGUCGCGAUGACAUCAUGUGGCUUUCGCUUCGGGGUGGCCCCGAAAAGUCCCGCUGGCCCUUGUCACUGCGGUUGUCGUUUGGGCGCCGCAGAGUGCUGUCUUGAUGCCGCGGGAACCGCUCCCGCAUCUUCUUCUCCUGCUCGGACCAAUCGUGCAUCAUAUCACGAAGGCCCGCAACAGUUUUCGGCCUGUUCCGCCCGAAGUCCCUGUAUGUGCCCGGGUCGGUGAUGCCGUUGUAGAAGCAAUCGAUGAUGUCCUCCUCCGAAAUGUUCACAAUAGUGGCGCGAACAUCGAAAAAACGACGCGUGUAGGACCGCAGGAGCUCGUUACGUUCUUGCUUGCAUUGGGCAAGAUCGUGUCGAGUACCUGCACGGGCGAUCGCUCCCUGGAAGUUGUCGAUGAAAACUUUCUUAAGUCGUUCCCAGGAGUCGAUGGAGUUGCUGCCAAGGCUUUCCAGCCAGGUGAGCGGUGCAGGGUCCAAAGCCAUCGGGAAGUAGACGACUUUGGUGACGUUUGAACCCCCUGCAACCUCAAUGGCCGUGGAGUAGCAACGGAGCCACUGCUGAGGAGCUUGCUUGCCGUCGUAUUUGGUGAUGCCGAUCGGCUUGAAGCCCUCUAGGUACUUGUAGCUGCUGAAACGAGCAGAAAAAGCAGGAAACCGGUCGCUACAGUCAGUACAUUCAGUUUCGACUUCUUCGCGAGUCUUGCACCUGGAGGAGAUCACGGUCUGCGCAUCGCGACCCUCAUUGAUGUGCUGGCGUAAGGUCCCCCGAAGGAGGUCGAAGAUGGACAUGUCGUGGGUGACCCCUUUGCGGUGGCUGUUGCCUCCCGCCAGGGGCCUGGCUACCACGUGCGUUGUCGUUGCUGAUCUGAUGUUGAGGACGACCACCAGCCGUUCGACUGCGAGCCUGACUUCGACUCUCGUCCACGCGUUCUUCCCGGAUGGCGGACGCCGGAUUGUGUUGAUCCAGUUGGAUCCAAGCCCUCUGCGCGUAGAGGAGUGCUUGGCGUACCUCCAGGUCGUGGCUGCGCUCGAGGAUGGCCGUCACCCUGGCGAUGUUGGCCACCGGAGUCCUGAAACCCCGCUCGCUUGCGGCAGCGAACUCAGGGUCGAGCUCGCGAUGCAUAGAUCGCCUUCGCUCGUUAGCCCUCCUCCGCCGGAUUGUGCGGGCCCUGUUCCUGGCCCUCCGUGCCUCACGAUCAACGUCAUUCUCGUUACCGGCGUUGGCCGUGAUCUCAUCUUCAGAGAUCGCUUCAAAGUUGUCGAUGGGAAAGUCCCCACCGUCAUCGCCUUCUUCGGCCAUUAGCACCUGGCGGGAAGAAAGCUCAUGAGAACUUUCGUCGACUAGCUCAGUCGACCCCUCCUCCGCGGUGGCCAAUGGCCUGCCCUCUUGGAAAGGCAAUGGCUCGAGGUGAGCCACAAGUCGGCUCUCUGCCUCGAGUAGGUUGGAGAGCAUCAUCCCCCUCCAAUGCACAAUGCGCCCCUUCGGCAAGGAGGUGAUCACCAAAUCACCGGGACCAGAACAACCCGAAGCCCCCCGACACGCGGUGGCUUCAGGAUUUCCAUCCUGGAGCAGUAAGUCCAGAUCUUUUUCCAACAUGGAGAGGGAUCCGGAUUCGUCGGCCUCCUGAAGAUUAGUGGCCAAUUUGCAUGGAUCGAGUCGAGGUCGACCAUGCAGAUCUCUAGAUUGGAACAAGUCCAAACCAGGGGAAGCUGAGGCAGCACCAGAAGGAGUCGAGCUUGGAGCAGAUUUCUCCUCGACCUGUGCUGCAAAAGUAUGGAGCGGCAAGUUGUCGAGUUCAUCGACGAACUUGUCGAGGCCGCUGCGGGAGUCCGCAGCGAAGGUUUUUGGCGUCAUGUCGACGAGGAAUCGCCGAAAGUUGCCCGUACCAUCUGCGAUGCAAACCCACGAGCCAAAAACGAAUGUCGUGCCCUGAGAGGGAAUUGAUCUGACGAAGUUGAAAGAUGCCAUCGAGCUCGCCGGUGGAUCUUCGACGCGUCCCCCUACUUGGCGCGCCAGCUGUCGGUGUUUAACCGGCUGCCCACCGAGGGAUAUGCCCAAGGUGGUAAGUUUUGGGUGAGGAGACGCCGAGAUCAGGAACUCGAAGGUGCAAGGAACACAAGACUUGGACAGGUUCGGGCCACACGGAGCGUUACACCCUACGUCCUGUUUGGUUUGUAUUGCCUUUGGUGUGGAACGAUCUAAUGAUCUUCUGUUUUGAGGGGGUCCCUGACCUCCCUUAUAGAUCCGAGAGGUCAGAGUUACAAAGAUGCUAACCAACCCCCGUCAAGGGAUCAUACCAGAACACAUCUCGAGUAGAUCCUCUCCGUGUUGGUUAGCUCUAUCUCCUAUUUAAACGGGAUAAACAAGAGAUAAACCAAAUGAGUAAGAGAUAAGACGGGCUUAAUCUCUUAAACUACGUAAUGUGCCUAACCUGGUGGCCCCGGGUCUGACACUGCUUGGCGCUAAAAAUUGUGGGAAAGGGAGGGGAGGCGGGGGUUGCCAAAAUUGGAAGGCAGACCGUAUGGGAAGGUAAUAUUACGGCCGGCUGUAAGUUAGCCAGAUCCUAUACUUCAUAUAUUACAGACAACAUUUCGUAGUCGUACUCAAUCGCGACCCAUUUAUUUGUCAAUGACCAGGUGGUGCAGACUAAACAUGUCUGCUACUCUGCUUAGACAUGUUUCAGGCCAAUUAACACACCAACUUGUCAAGUUCGCCCUAAUAAUUCAACCAGUAGCUAGAAUCCCCAAAGUCAUCUUUGUCCUUGUGCAUCCGCCCCGAAUGCAUGCCCUAUAAACACUCGUUUCUGUCGUCACCACUGCUGCAUGCAACUCUCAUAGAGCACUCCAGCAACAAGCUAAGGUAAGCUGCUAGGCCAGCUGCCAAUGGCGAAACCUUCUUACACAUUACUGUUGGGCGCAAUGGUGGUGGUGCUCUCGCUUCUGUUGAGCCCCAUUGCUUGCUUCCGGAAACUCACAAAGCCAACGCCUACGCCGCCGACCAACUACAACUUCAAGCUAGCUGCAUCGUCCCAGCCAAAGUCGAUCAGCCACGAGCGGCCGCAGCCAACUACUGUUCCAAAGCCACGCAGCAACCACACCGCUAGCCCCUCGGCGCCGGCAGCGGCGGCUGGUUGUGGGGGCGCCCGGGCGACGUACUACGGCGCCCCCAACAGCGACGGGAGCGAAGGUUAGUGCGCGUGCAAUGCAGGCGAUCGAUGCCUGUGCCGACGCGCGUGACCGUGCCGGAGCUGAAAUGGGUCCACUGACUAAUGGGUAGAAACAUAUGCAUGCAUGCAGGUGGCGCGUGCGGCUACCGGACCGCCGUCGGGAAGCGGCCAUUCUCAUCGAUGAUCGCCGCCGGGAGCACGCUGCUGUACAGGGGAGGCCAGGGUUGUGGCGCCUGCUAUGAGGUACCUACGCCAGCAGAACGCCCUACUGCUGGCACACGUAUACAUUUAACAAAUGUUAAAACCGCAAUUAGUGCUAAGACAACGCGUCCGUCCAGGUCAAAUGCGCGAGCAACGCGGCCUGCUCCGGCCAGCCGGUGACCGUCGUCAUCACGGACGAUCCUCCCGCGGGCUGUUCCCCGGCGAGGCCGCCCACUUCGACAUGAGCGGCGCCGCCAUGGGCGCCAUGACGAGGCGCGGCAUGGCCGAUAGGCUCCGCGCCGGCGGCGUGCUUAGAGUCCAGUACAGGAGGGUGAUGCCGUGCAGGUACCCCCGGCGUGAGCGUCGCGUUCAGGGUGGACCAGGGCGCGAACCCGUUCUACUUCGACGUGCUGGUCGAGUUCGAGGGCGGCGACGGCGACCUCAAAGCCCAUGGCGCACAACUGGGGCGCGACGUGGCGCCUCAACAACGGCAGGAAGCUCAGGGCGCCGUUCGGGCUCCGGCUCACCUCCGGCUCCGGCAGGAUCCUCGUCGUCAACGAUGCCAUCCUGGCCACGUGGAAGGCCGGGAAACGUACCGCUCCCAGGUCAUCUAUCCCUGAGCUUUCACUUCGCUAGCAGUACAUACAUAGCGGAAAAUAUAAUGUUCGUCCGGGCUGUUGUUCUCGAGGGCAGAAGCUUGAGCUGUGAGUCUUGUGACUAAUGUUGCAAGCCGAUGCUUAGAAAAAUGUGUUUUACUUUGUACAUUAGAUCCUUUCAGAAUUCAAACAAAAACUGUUACUGAUUCCUUAUGUACUGCAGUGACUGCUGAAAUGACAACAAACCUCUAAGUUCAAUACCAACUUCCCUCAGCAUAGCUUGGAUAUGAUUAUGAUAGUUAUAUCUGAAGUUGUGAUUUUGGAAGAGAAUCUCUUAUAGUUUUCCAGCAAACAGUAGAGCCUGUACAAAUAGAAUCACUAUGUUUCUGCCUCGAGUAUUGCUGAAAAGUAAUUGGUGGGAUGAAAAGUAGAAAGAGUUCUAUCGGAUAAUUCAGGAUCUUUGACUUGUCGGCCAAUUCCUCAAAAAAAAAUUUUCUUGGGCACCAGACCUUGAAUCAAGCGCAUGGUAACAGGAACUAAAAUGGCAAAAAUUCCCAUUUAGCUAACGAUUAGGACAACUUUUACGCAAUUCCAAGAGAAUACCGUAUGAUAAUAAGAACGCAACUAAAAUGCUUAAUACUAUUUUCUUCUAAAUGGCACACCACCAUAAAAUUGGCAAAUAGGAUCAAAAGUAAAUCUGACUUGAAGUAUUCUUCCGGGGACUACCAAAAAGAGGAUUAGAAAGUUCUUGUUUUUGUUUUGUUUUCAUGUAUCGGCAACACCAAAACCAUGGUCACAUAGCUUUUAAAAAAACAUGGUCAUUACAAAUCAAAAAAACUAAUGCCCCAUACAGGAUCAAACUGCAGACCUUCCGCUUACGAAGCCCACGCUCUACCACUGAGCCAUAGGGGCCCACAUUAUUAGUAUUUUAAUCACCUCUAUAAAUUACUUAAAAUUAUUUUCCACCACAACCCCGUACGGAUGCCUGGCGGAGCCAUGCACGAGUCGGCUGCUCACCAGUUCGGCCCCGAGGCACGCAACUCCAUCUCUAUAAGUAUUUUUUAAGAGACUAAAUCGGAAGAUUUUCGAGAUUGAAGAUGAAUACAUGCACACAAUAGCACUAUUAGAAACAAGUCUUAUAAUACCGGAUGAUCGGUGCCUUACGCAUCGCUUCCUAACCCGUACUGCGAGGCUGAGACUAAAAGUCUGGAUUUUUGUCAGUGGGUAAAACACCCGGUGCCUAAGGGUCUAUUUAGUACCGGGUGAAGAUUCCAUCCGGUACCAAAACAUUUUUAUCAAAAAAAUAUAUUAAAUCCAAGAAGAGACCCGUACACGCGCACGUGCCGGUGGCCGGGAUUCGAACCUGCAACCUCUUGCUUUGCAUGCACCUCUCUUACCAUCUCACAUGCACAACAAUUAUAAUUGAUAGGAAGAUAAUUCUAUUUGAAGUAAGUCGUGGAGGAUUGCUAAUACCGGGUGUGGGUGGAGCAUUUAGUACCGGAUGAUAGCACCACCCGCUACCAAUAUCUAGCCUUAGAUACCGCGUGGUGUUACCACUCUCUAGAUCUUUCCAUCCACCUUAAAAGUACUGGUAUGAAGAUGACCCGUACCGGAUCAUUUUCAUGCUAGUACUUUUAGGGUGGAUCUUUGGCAUGUUUUCUAAUAGUGAUGAGCAUCUCCAAAAGACUGAGCUUGCAUAUUUUUGAGAUUGACAAAAUUAUCACAGGCGUCUCCAAGAGAUUGAGCCCAUCUCGCUAUCGACGGGCACAUUACCUACCGCUAAAAGAAUAACGCCGGUUAAAUCCUAAAAUAAAUUUAGAAAAAAUAUGAGUACUCGUAACGAGGGACUCGAACCCGGAUCGGCAAGUUCCUCGACAUCGAUAUGUUUCAACGGCAUCGCAUCAUUAGAGUUGGAGCUGACCGUUUUGCAGCAUAUCGCUAGCGAGGUUCGGAGUUAUGCAAGUAUUAGGGAGCUUAUGCAACUCGUGCGUUGAUAUAAGAGCAUCUCCAAGAGACUCUUUCUUUAUAUAUUUAGAAAUAGAGAUUUUGGUUAAAAAUUACUCUCCAACUAACCUUUUUUCAAUUGGAUAUCUAAAUAUAAACCUCCUCUAUUCCGGAUUUCUCGCUAGCCAUAGAUGGAGAGCGAGAAUGGCUCUCUAGACUACGCAUAGGUAUAGAAAAUAUGUUAGAGAAUACAAAUAUAUAGAAAACAAUUUUUACUCAAAUAACUCUCUAAAUCUUAUUCAGAGAGUAGAUUUUAAAAUAACAUCUCCUGUUGCUCCGUCCCUAAAUAUUAAUAAUGGCGGAGCUUCUCUCACGCCAACGAGGCCAUGACCCGACCCACCAACCACCCCCACCUCCUAACCCCAACGCCCCACCCUACCCCAGCAGACACAAAAAAAACUCUCAGUUUAGGAGCAAGCUGAAAGGACUCUGAGUUUUUUAUCAAUCAAAAUAUACUAAGUUUGACUAAAUUUGUAGUACAUAUUGACUAAAUCAACUACAAAAAUAUACUUGACAACAGAUCUAAUUGUACUCAUUUUACAUCAUAAAUAUUAUUAUUCUUUUUUAUAAUUUGAUUAAACAUAGGAUAGUUAACUUUGCACAAACUCAGAUAGAGGAAGAACUACAAUUGUCUAUCUUACUGAAAGUAAAUCAGUUGAUUCCUUCUGAGCCAUCUUACCCAAGGCAAACAGGCUUUACAGAGCUGCCAGUUUGUAGGGCAUAAGAGCAAAUAUAUUGCUAUAUAUAUUAACGGUUUUGUAGGCUGUCUCAUGAAGAGCUGUGUAGAUUUUUUUUUCUAUGGAGAAGAGAAGGGGAGAGAGAGAAAAGCUGUUGUCUCGUAAAACAACGGGCUCAUCAACGAUUUUUUCACUCGACGAGACAACUUUACCACCGUUGUAUGCCCGGUCGUUGCUAGAGGAAGCGAUUUUUUCCCCUCGCUGGAUCUACUGUGCUGAUUCCUUCUCGCCGCGCUAAAUUCUUCUUCCUCGCGCGCGAAAUCGAUUCACCAUCUCCAUCUGCUGGCAACUCUCUCUCCGUCUCUCCGAUGAGGCGACGAACCAGGCCACGGUGCUUUGCCGGUGAAGCAUAUGGCACGGCUGCCACAAAGGGGGCACGUCCCGACGCUCGAACCCACCUCGUCGUCGAGGCCAGGGAGCUUGCCGGCGGCUGCAGCACACUAGCGGCAUCUUCGUCACCGGGCCCGAACCCAACGCGCCCCUCCUCGUCGCGGCCAGCGAGCUUGCCGGCGGCUGCAGCACCCCAGGCGGCAUCUUCGUCACCGGCAUCAAUCCAAGACCGCAUGUGUGUAUGUGUAUUCGAUGUUCUGCUACUAGAUUACAUUAAUAAUUACUAAUUAGCAAGGGUUUUCUUGAUAUACGCGACUAGCUAGCUGCUGUUCAUGAUUGCCCUCUGGUAUAGUUAUUUGCAUGAACUUUUUCAUCGAGAUGUGAUCAUUUUUUUAAUCUUUUCGUAUAGUAUACAAUAAAUAUUUUAUUUGAAUAUCUAUAUCUAUACGUAGGAUACUUCUCGUGUAUAAUUUGCCUACAACUAGUGGAGCUGAAAGUGAUAUGUACUUUAUUGCUACAACACCACGGUGACAUAAAAAUCUACAAAGUGAAAAUACGUAAAAGAUCACAACGUUGAUUUGGCUCAUGCAUAAAUUUAGGACUCAUGGAUUAUCACGAAACAACUAAACAGACAAUCUAUUAUAUGAGUUCUUUGUUAGAUCAUCUAAAGAUUACGUGGUAAUACAUGAGACCACCUAUUAGACAACACACUAAGUUAACCAUCUUUUACAACGGCACAGUACUAACGUUUGGACCAGCGUCUGUAAUUAGGUUAAUCAACAACUCUUUUAUCUAACUACCAUACCAUGUGCAAUGAACUUUUUCACCACGAAGUUCUGAUACAGUAUUUACCAACCUAUAAGCAAUUAACCAAAGUACUGUAUCUACCACCAGAGCAUGGACGAUCGAGAUCGAUCUGUGGAAUGGGAUCCAUAAGUCAUUGAUGGGGCAUCACGUAUUGUCGCGUCGAAUCGCCAUGGCUCGACUUUAAUGUGCGGCAGUGCGCAUGCUUGUGCCCACGCGCCGGCGAGCCAUGCCCAGCUCGCGCCGUGAUGACAAGGACGGCGGCACCUCCGUUCUCUUCGGCCCGGUCGAGGUCGAGUGGCGGUGUUGCCGUCCACUGAUCCCCUGGCUUACCCUCGCAGCGCGCUCUACCUUGGAGCUUACCCUCUUCAGGCGCAGGGACUGCCGGAUCCUGUCCUUCUUUCUCUCCCGCACUGACAACGACGACGACGGCAACGAUCUCCUCGUCGACCUGCUGCCCGCCGCGGCGCCCCGGCGGUGGUCACCGUCGUAGUCGUCGUCGGAGGAGGAUGAUGAGGAGGAUGAGCCUGUGCCGUCGCGGGUCGUGCUGCUGCUGGGCUGCCCCAGCUCGACGUCCCGCUCCCGCCGGCCGCGUCGGCCGCGGUGCACGCGCUUGGUGUCGCGCACCUUCUGCCAGAGGAGGCCGAGCGCGCCGCAGCAGGCCGAGCAGGGCUUCCACACCAUCUUGAAGGCGUUCUUGGCCACGCACUUGACGAUGCCCAGCUUGCACAGGACAUACCCGAACAGCAGCACUGUACGUUGUGCCAACAGAAGGUAAUACAUUAACCAGAUGUGACAAGAUCUGCACGCAUGGCAUGCUCCAUUCAUUCGACUGUGUGUGUUCUUAUACCAAUGUAGGUGACGAUGAUAACCACGAAGAGCCUGAGCAGGCUGGAGAUGCAGACGUGCUCGAUGAAGCAGGGCAGGUCCCAUGUCCCUGAGCAAACGCUCCUUUGACAUAGAGCGAGAAAAAAAGAAAGGGAAAAACUUGCUAUCAUUCAAUGGCGUGUGGAAUUCACUUUCUGGCAGAAACUAGAAGGAAGAAAGAAGAGCGGCGUAAUCCAUCCACCACUCCUGGAUGCUAAUUAAUUGCAGCAAAAAAUAAAUAAAUCGAAUGUCGUCAAGAUGAACUUACUCGCAGGAGGCGCCGAAGAGCACCUUGAACGGCGCGGACACGACGUUCCCGACAAGCGUGCCAACGCCGUUCGCCGCCGAGCUCACGACGGACCCCAUCGAUCUCCUCUGCCCUGGAAUGAAAGGGCCUGUUAAUUCGUCGGCUGAUCUUGGUGUGGCUGGGGCGAGCGAGCGCAGGAGGACAAGGACGCGGCGGUUACCUUCGCGGGAUGGAAGAUCUACCAAGUACUAGUAACUGCCUAAUCGCUCGUCUUUUUUUUUUCUUUCCUUUUGGUGGGAACUGCGUAGCUCUAACCGCUCGUGCAGGAUGCUCGCAAGAGUUCGGAUGGCAGCCCAGCGAUGUGGAGUCCACCACUCCGCUAGAGGUGCGAACUGCGAAGCCAGGAUUUAGCCAGUGACCUGAUGAAUUAGUGGAAAUUGUGGAAUUGGAUCGCUUGAUCAUACAUGGUGAUGGUAUCAUCAACACAUCUAAUGAUCUAAAUGACUAUUUGGUUCUGCCACAUUGGAUGUUUGGACACCAAUUAGAAGUCUUAAAUAUAGUCUAAGUACAAAACCAAUUGUAUAAAUGGAGGCUAAUUCGCAAGAUGAAUCCAUUAAACUUAAUUGAUUCAUGAUUUAACCAUGUUGUGCUACAGUAAAUAUGUUCUAAUGACAGAUUAAUUAGGCUGUGUCGUUGAUUAGCACAAGCUUACCCUCUAUUGAGCAUACGAACAUUCAACAUGAUCCGGAUUAAAAAUUAAUUCCGGAUCCAAACAUCUUUCUAAAUUUCUAAAUUAGUGGUUCGCCCAUGCCUGCAUCGAUGAAUGGCAAAGAUGGGAGAUUGCAACAACGAACAGUUUUGGACAGGAGACUGGGUUAGUGGGAGAUGUACCUUCGCUGUGGUCAGUGAGACGCUCCGCAAUACGCCGGUGGCGCGUGCUCAGAGCGUGAGAUUCCGAGAAUGAACUUGAGAAGAAGAAGAAACAAUUGAAGAAGCAGUUAGCCGCCACAGAUGUUGGGCCGGGGCUCUUGUUGAGCAAGCAGCAGGGAAAGUGAUGGUUUGGAGCAGUAGCGAAGGACGCGACAAAAUCAAGGUAUUGCCGAGACAACGAGCUAAAAAAAUGCAUGCCGUAAUUUAAACGUUUUUCACAACAAGCAAAUGUAAAAUGAGACUGAAAUGAGAGCGAAUGUUCAAGAUAUACCUAUAAAUUACUAGAUAUUGCUGGAGGCCUAGAGUCUAGACACUGGAUAAUGUAAAAAUAUACCGUUUUGGUUAAUUUUUUUCUUCCCCUUGCAAUUUUUCAACCAUGGUUAGGAUGGCGGCGGGGCGCUGGCACUCAGCAAGAUGGCUAGGACGGCGGCGGAGCGGCGCCAAUGUGCGGAGGCGGGCUGGAGCCUGGAGCCGGACUUGCAGGCAAACUGGCGAAGGCGCGGACGCUCCUGGCUCCUGGCAGUGCAGCUCCUGCCGCCGCCACAGCCACCACAGCCACAGCUCCCAAAUUCCCAAAUCCCAAAUCUCUGUGACCGGACUCUCUUAGGGCCUGUUCGUUUCCCACCCUCUAAACUUUAGACCCACAUAUCAAAGAGAAUCUUGCUAUUUAGAAGUAUUAAAUAAAAUCUGUUUAUAAAAUUUUUUGCACAGCUGUGUGCUAAUUCGCGAGACAAAUUUAAUGAGCCUAAUUAAUCCAUAAUUUGCUACAGUGAUGCUACAGUAAUUAUUCACUAAUCAUGGACUAAUAUACCUCAUUAGAUUCGUCUCGCGAAUUAGCACUAGGGUUCUGCAAUUAGUUUUGUAAUUAGACUUUAUUUAAUACUUCUAAAUGAUAAGAUUUUUUUUAUGUGAUCCCUCUAAACUUUUAAGUAUCCGGAAUGGAACACACCCUUAGUCUCUUAGCAGUGCCCUGAAAAGUAAAAACCAAAGAGGAAACCAACUAACCAAGUCACCAACAACUUGACAGAAGGCAGAGGCGGGCGGCGGCGGCCGGGCGGCGGGCGGGCGGGGGCGGGGGCGCGGGGCUGCGGGCGGCGGGCGGCGGCGCGCGGCGGCGCGCGGCGUGCGGGCGGGCGGCGGGCGGGAGCCUGGAGCAGAGCGGGCGGCGUGCGGAUAGGGUUAGAUCAUCUUUCGUAAUUGGUUUGUGCAAGUGUUUUCUGUUCAGUUUAUUUAUAACUUUGAUUGGUUUGCACAAUUUAUAUUUUCUAAUCGUGUAGGGAUGGACUAGCUAGCAGUUUCUUCAUCUGAUUAAUUGAUAACUGACGUGCGGUCAUUUUUUUAAAAAAAAUGUAGUAUAAAAGUCGUCGGCCUUAUUGACCUUUUCCACACUACAAAAUCUUCUUAUUUUCUCUCAUCGUAUAGUUAAUUGCCUAUACUGCAGAAAAGUUCAGUAUCAUGCAUUGCUUGUUGAAUUACUUUGAACAUGUUGCCUCUAAAAGAACGCUUCGGAGUCAGUUGUUUGCCUUUCUAAUUUUUUUUGCUAAACUAUGGUUACUUGGUUAGUUUGUCAACAUCUCCCUGACACCCUGACAUUUUAAGCUAUUUGGUGAACUGCCAGUCAUAAAAUUCAACAUGCUAUUGGUGAUAACAAAAAGAUAUGUCUACCUAGCCAAAGACUUGUUUCAAUCAACAGGCCAGACAUGGGUUUUAAGCUUUUAGUCUUUAGAUUUCAGUAAUGAUUAAGAUUUGUGGCAGCAAGAAACUUUGAGAGUCCUACAGGGGUGAACGAGGGUCUUUCCGGAUUAGUCAAUUUAUAUUUGAUAAAAAAGUAUGCAGAUUCAAGUAAUUUUUUUCUCACUUAUAGCAGAUUAAUCAAUUGUUCCUGUGAUUCCAUUAGUGGCAGGUCAUUUGUUAUUUUUCCAGCAGUUUGGCAGUACUUACUCACUCUCCUUUCAAGUAGUGGUUCCUUAUACGCCACUACCUUUUCAAACUUUCUAAAUCUUUGCUUUUUUUAUUGUUCUUAAUGAAAGAACAGAGAGCUCUUGCCACAUUGAUCUGGACAAAUCAUAGGUAAAGGAAUGCAGUAAUUAAAGGUAUUUAGAUCAGACUUUUCUUUGUUAUUGUUGUCACAGGUUGGAUCAAGUCUAAGGUUGGUUGAACCUAGAUGUAACUUUUGAGGAGAAAAGGUUGACAUGAUGUGGCAAAAUCAUCCAUAUUUCUUCACACACCUUAAACUGUUAUGAUCCUGACAUGAUGGUCUGUGCUGCCAAUUCCAGGCUUUCUAACUAACCAGUUGAUGAAUGGUGUUAAUUAAGAUUUAAGAAGUUAUUUCUACUAUUUGAGUUCCAAGGUUUCACACUGACUGCUGUAGAAUACUACUCUUGGUAUCAAUGAAAAGGUACUCAAAAUCAUGGACAAAGCAAAUCAGUACUUAUUCCAAUGCUUAUUGGUUGUUGAUUUUGUCUUUAAGACAAAUGUCUAUGUUUUUUUGGGAAUAGGAAACAUGGCUUUUGUUAGUGCGAGAAACACUCUGAGCUUUUAGACCAAAAAGAUUAUACUGAUAAUGUUGUUGACAAGCUUGACGAUAAUGAUUUGUGUACUUUAGUCUUCACUUUUUGUAUCUAACUUUUAUCUUGUGGAUCUAGGAAAGAACGAUACGCUGUUUGUGUCGGUGUGUUGGUGAUAUAUAUUUUAGGUGUAUACUACUUUCCAAGAUGCUGAAAUAUACUUAUGUUCUGAUUGAUUUGGCUAUUUUCCUUUUUCAGAAAAUUAUUGUUGCCAAAGCUCUGAAAUCUGAUGAUGUUGAGCCAAGAAGAUAUACCCUGGAUUGUUUGCCUUAGAGAUCGGUUUGGAGCUGAGGGUUCUCUUGCCAGAUGCAUUGUUAUAAAUGACAGCCACCCCCCCCCCCCCCCCCCCCCCCCCCCCCCGCAGGCGUCUAGAUGACUACUAAGCCAGGAGCAGACAGCUACUUGUUCAUAUGGUACAACUGUAUAGAUAUGUUGGUAAUUUUUUUACCUUGAAAGAAUAUGUUGUAUCUCCAGUAUGUCUGUUUGCAUUAUAUAUCGGUUCACUGAAACUUCUGAUGCACGGAGAGCUCUGCAAUGUAAAGUACUUUCAGUAGUGUACUCCUCUCAAAUUCUGAACCCCCUAUGGAGGUGUACAAGUUGAUUAAAUGGUAUUUUUCAACAGUUGGAAAUAUGUUCUGUCAAUCUAUAAAAGUUUAUAUUUUGCUGCAUCAAACUAGUACCUUCCACUAGAUGACUGCAUUCUGCACCUAUUUUCACCUGUUUUUGAAAUAUGCAGUGCCUACUCAAGUGACUUGCUGCAUCUUAUAGUUUGGCUGCAUCCAUGCCUUUUAGCAAUGGGAGACACAAAGUAGUAGUCCACUAGUCCCAGGUCCCAGCAUCUCAAGCUCCAGUUGCACACACAUCUACAGAGAUAAAAGGAAGACCCUCAAAAGUUUGGAUCUCACGAAUGUAAUUGUUCAUACUGACUGGUCUGUCAAUCAUUACAGGUCAACCUUUCUCAAAGGAUGCCUCGCACCUUUCCCUGCAGGUUUUCCUGGGCUGCCUUUUCUGGUCUCUGGGUGAGUGCAGCCAUUGCACGCGUGCUCAGACAGAGUCACCGGAGCACAGGAAGAAAGACUGCGCUCCAGGGCUGCACAUAACAAAGCUGUGGUGGUUAAAAUGCCAACGCAGACUUGGCACUGAUUCUUUUCAGCCUUGUUCUGUCUGUAGGUUGGACCGGUGGUGAUUGCUGAAGAACGAAGAUGGUAGACUGACCUAACCUCUGAGCAGGUGAAAAAAAAAAUCAUUUCCGUAUGUAACAUCAUUGGGUCCGUGUGUUAAAUUAUUGAAGCCUAUAUUGGUUAAUGAUGAGCCGAUGCAAUUGCAUGUGUGUUUACACACUGUUCCUUGUGUCCUGGUGUCAAAGUUGUUGGUGGCGCCUUAUAGGGGCUAGCUAAUCUGGGUAGGCUCUUGGGUGGAUCUGAGUUGUUAUAUAUGACAAAAUCUAUCUAACCUGAUUGUCUCAACCUGCCCCUGUUCUGUACUUUGUCCUUCCUUUCUUUUUUUUCUCGGGGGAAAUAGCUGAAAAAUAGUAGGGAGGUGUGCUACUGUAUGGUUCCUUUUAUUUUAGGUAACAAAUAGUAGCUUCUCAAGUCAUACUUGAACCAGUUUUAGUUAGUCUUACACUCUUACUUCCGUAUUUCUUGAACCAGCAGGACAUGCCCAGAUUACAGCAGUACUGCCUCUGUUCAAAACAGAAAAAACAGGGGUACCAGUGUACAUGCCUUGUAUCAGAACUUGCACCCUUCUUAAAGUUAAUUUCUUGAAACAUUUCACCAGCCGGCCCAGUUUAACUGUUUUACUGAACCCCAAAUCCAUGACCUUCAGUUAUUGUCUGAACAUGAUGGCUGGGUACCAAGUACUAACCAACACACAUGCCAUGGAAUGUAGAUCAUUAGAUCAGGAACCAGGUCCUAGGAAUUCAGCAUCAUGUCUGAACCAGACUUACUAAUGGCACUCUAAAUCUAUUCACCAAGUUGGGGCAUCUCUUGCCGUCCACUUGGCGAGAGGAACAGAGGACAUCAACUGGGAAUUUGAUAGUGUCAGUUGACCUUAACCAUGCCGCUAGCUCUCUCUUGCAUGCAGGGUUGCAGCAGCACAGCACAUGAAGACACCGAACGCGGUUGGGAGCAAAAGGCGCUGCCUUUUCCCCUGUGUUCUUGUCUAUUGCACUUGGAUGCUCGCCGCUGCCGUUUGCAAGGCCUCAGAUGCUGCUGAAGCAAAGGGGAAAAGCCCGUCGUGCUGGGUGUGAUCAGCAUUAUCCACGGUACAGGCCAGCUGCUAGUCUUACCACGUCCUGAUGGUCAGGUUCAUGCUAGGCUGUUUGUUCCUGAUCACCUUUUUAGCUUUCUUGCACUCGCCUUUAACCUUUGAUGGUUGCUGGUGUGAAGCUUCGCCCAGGCCCAUGGCUGAUGCUUCUUUGCACUGCAUGCAUCUCACUGGUUGGUCAGAGAUGAGAGGCGCGUUGUAGGUCAUACAGGUUGGUGAAACAGGGACAGUGGAGUUAUUUUAUCAGUAACCUGCAAUUAACCACUUAGGACCCCUCUCACCGACCAUUUUCUUUCUUUCUUUUUCUACAAGGGAAUUCUGGUGGCGUGCGUCCACGGACGCGUACCGUGCGGCACAUUUACGGCAGUUGCGCCAUGCGGCCCUGUUCCCAGGACAGACGGUGCCCGGAAGGACGGGCACGCCAUGGCCUCCCUCACCGAGGCCAUGGAGCAGCGCCAUUGAUGGCCAGGGUUAUCGUUCUUGGAAGGGGUGGUUGCUGGCUGCUGCUGUGCCCUCCCUGUGCAAGCUAGCUGGAGGCCACUACGGCGGCUACAGCUCCUACCACCCCACGGCAGCGUUGCAGGGGUGACGCAGAUGGAGAAGGUGAGACUCGGGCGCCGACGGCAGCAGCGGUAACCCUUGCCAGCCGGGGACCAUGCGCCAGCGCGUGGGUGCGCUAACCUCGAGGACGAAUGCUGUAAUGGCGUGUCCUCGUCCGACCCUCCAUGGGAAAGGAGACCCGAAUUGAAGCAGGCGAGACAAGAGGCAGCAGGCAGGGAUCCGUCGGAGCCCAGCUAGGACCACCGCGCAGGGACGGCCGGAGAUGGCGAAGAUCCAGAAGCUGGGGGCAUGCAGGCAGCUGGCACGGCGGCCCUGCCCAUACACUGUGCAGGCCGCAGCGUGGAUUCUACUUUGUACAGCUGGUGCCUGGACUUACCAGUUUACCACUACACGAUUACAUGUGGUCAACUGGUCAAGGUCAACGGUUCAACACUGCACGACCGUUUCAGACCACCGUCCGGUAGACGCAGAUCGCAGCAAGGUGCAAGGCUACGGCCGGGAUGAAACGCUGGUUCCAGUUACAACGAGUGGUCUGUUACUGUUCUACUCGUGAGGUCAGUUCUAGACUUGCAGUUGACGGUUUGAGACAGGGAUUUUGAGUUGCGUACACCUCUAUUCGCUUGUCUACAACCUCGAAUAAAACUGACCACAGAUGCUGCUCCUACCAGAACGGCCACGGCCCUUGCUCUCAACGAGGCUACGCCGCUACGGAGUACACUACACCCAUUGGGCGCCAGAGGUUUCAGACUUCUGGGACGGCGAGGCCGGCCGGUUGGUCGGAAUCCGCAUCUCUGCAGGCAGCAGGCAGCCGGCCGGGGAGGAUCGGCGGUGGCCGCCAAGCGCAACGGGCAGCCCCGGCGCGGUAGCCUUGUCGCUUCCCCUGGCGCGGCGCGGCGCGGCGCGUGGCGUGGCAGUGGCACUGCUCGGUCGCGGCCGCGUCCAAGCGAGGGCGAGACCGGAGCUCGCCGCGCGAUGCGCGCAUGUGACCAGACCGCCGGCGUGCGGCCGGCCGGCCACGGCCACGGCCACGGACGUCAGCUUAGCGUGCGGCCAAAGGUAAAUUAAUUAGGGUUAGUGUAGGGAUGUGUACGGCCGGGUCGCGCAUGUGAACCGGCUUUUAACCGUAGGGAUCUGUCGUAACCUCGCAUCGCACUGUUCACUCGCCCGUAGUGAUCUGAUGUGCUUGUCCGGCUCCGUCUCCAGGCUCGAUCUGCAGCUGGCGCCUGUCUGAACUCGCUGCUAAGCAUGCAGGAGGGAGUAAUCGCUAGAUCUGAGUGUGCCGGUACGAGUGCCGGCGAUGGGUAAACUUUUGUACGGUGCGGCCGUUGAUGUACUGCAAGGGCAUUGUUUAAUUAUCCAGGGCUAGGUACAGUAACUUUUCCUUUUGACCAUGGUAGCGGGACUUGAGGACCAAGAUGCAGUGACUACUUCUGUUCUGGCAACGGUAUGUACUCCUGCUGCUGAAGCUGGUUAUAUAUUAUUACUAGGACUGGAUAAAAUUACAGGAUGCCUUCCAGCUGAAGGAUGGAAUGUGCUGGGUUAAAGAUCCUUUUAACCCUGCAGGUCCAGCAAAGAAGGUGGUCUUUUGGGCAAAGCAAAACAGGAGUAAACUAACAAAAGAAGCUUUUUACCCUAAUAAUGUUUGUUUAGGGCAGGUCUCUGUCUUACCAUGAGCCCACCCAUUAACCCAGGUUCCACGGGCAGUAAUUAAUAACCAACCAACAUCCACGCAGAGAGCCAAUGAUGAAACAAAACCCUACCUAGAUCGAUGCACCCUGCAAGAGUCUAUAAAGAUUUUGGAAAAAGAAAAAAAAAAGAUGCGUAUGCACUCGAGCACAGAAGGACAGGGGCAGUGCAUCAUAGGAAUCCCAGGUGGGAUGAGCCACUUCUUUUUUUCUUUUACUCGCCUUUGCCGCCGGAUCCUCCUCCAAUAUCGAUCUCACGCUCGCAUCAUGGUGACAUGAUGGAUGAUCCCCCAUGUGGCCCGUCCUGCACCUCAUCACAUGCAGCGCAACGCCCCAACAAAGCUAGAGCUAUCGCGGUUGAAGAGAGGAGAGCAGACAGAGGAGGAUCCUUGGCGUGAACUGUGACUGGCAAAGUGGCAAUGCAAGGGAGGGACCCCGAUUCGACCCAAUCAUUUUCGCACGCGCGUCACACAAUAGCACCUGGAUCUUUUCACGCAUGUUUAUGUUGCCAAACUCACCGCGUGAUGCUGUCGCUAAUGAACGUGAAAGCUCAAGUGAAAAAUAUUCCAUAUAUGAAUGUAUAUUUUUUUUUCAGAAGACAUAUGUGAUGUACUAUAUCGUAUAGGACUUCUUGUAUCGUUGCCACGUAGGUUUUUUUUUCAGUUUGAUGUGCCACUGACACGUGGGGUUGACUGUAUGUUUAUUUAGUUUCCCAGGACAAAGAUCUGAUGCACCGUCUCGCUCGUGUACCGUCUCAAUCUGUACUUGCUUUUCCUGUACACGUAGACAUACCACUCACCAAGUACAUUCUGUGCUCUCCGAUCCGUCCUUCUGAAAGCGGACCAUCGAGUUUUUAUGCAAGGCAGGCCACUGCAUGCACUACAGUGCCUAUGAUGUUGACCAGGUACAGACAGCUAGCUCCAUUACAGCAUUUUUUUUCUCUCAAAAUUAUGGCACACUAACUACUACCUCACGUAGCAUCGUCAUCUCGCAUGCAUGCAUGUCUCCGUCCAAUAAUGCGUACAAGACGUGUUUUGUCCGUGCCAGCGACCUGCUGCCCGUCCAUGACUUUGAGCAAGCAACAAACUUGGAUCAGCUGGGUUAGUGACACGAAUAUAAAAGCAGCCUAAGCUAAUCGUUUCCUCGGCCGUGAAAGCGACUGCACUAAUGCCCGUCACUAAACUAAUCGUGCUGCUAAGAUGCCAUCCAUUCAUGCAUGUACAAAUGUGAUGGCCAGAAAUGAAUGUCGUCAUGUCGAGAUUGAUCUUAUAUCUAUCUAUCUAUCCAUCGACCGAUCGAUCACGCAACCGAACGAUCGAGCACGCAGCCACGCACGAGCCCGACCACCCAACAAGCGUACACGCCAUGUGACAAGGAACAUGCGUGCGCAUGCAUGCAUGGACACGCUACGACAACAGGCAGUGAUGUGCCUGGCGCUGGCUAGCUAGCUCACUUCACUGCCGGCCGUCGUCUCGUCGUCUCCCCGAGGCCUUAUUCCAUUACACCUGAAUUUAUUCCGAGCAGAAAAUAAUAGGUAUAAUAAGAGACUCGUAACAGGUACAACAAGAGAUCGGAAUUUAUUCCGGAUCGGAAACUAAUCGUAACAAAAUACAUUAUUUUGGUAGAUAUAAAAUAGAUUCGUCGGUGCAUGCAUGCAUCAGGAUCCGAUUGAUAUCAUCCUCUCGUCUGGUCGGAUCCUCCAGCGCCUUUUCACAUUUGCUGAUUGGGUUGGUUGGGCUCCCCUGUAGCUGUUCUUGUGUUGCAUGCACAGCAAUGUGACAACCGGGUUUACCUCUUCCGGGGGACCCCAGCUGGCAGCUGCUGACCCUGCACAUCACUCAUGGAGCAGUAUCAACAAGGUUAUGGAGGGAUCGUUUCGUUUCGUGGAUGAAUGUGGGACCAGUUCAUGGUGGCAGUCAGGUUGGCAAGGUUUUCUUCUGUUGCUUUAUUUGCUGGCCGCCCGGGAUAACUACUGUUCAAGUGUUAGUAGUGUGUACAAUGUUCACAUCUGUCUGCUGUUUCCCCACAAGAUGAGUUUCAUUCGUUUAUUUGGAUGGGCAAGACCGAAUCAUAUAUGGAGUUUAGUUUUGGUGUGAAUGAUGUAGAGUUCUUGAAAAACUGACAAACUAUCCUUAUGCUUAACAAGUGUACCGACUCUUCGAAAAAUAGCGUCGUCGGCGAAGAGCUUUGGCGACAUUUGGUGGGUCGGCUCCAUUCAAGACUGAACAUAGCGGUCAGAGUUAGUAGGUGUGCAUGGAGCUGAAACGUGUACGUGCUGCUGGCCCGUUUAAGAGGGAGGUGAGGUGCGUAUAAAAGAACAUGUAUGUGUGUGUGUGUGGCUGAUGAAGCAGCUACGUCUUUUUUUUGCGCCACGGGGGCCGAGCGCAACUGACGCAUGAAAGCGCCGUCCAGCCGCCCGGACGCAGAACCGGCGUUGAAGUAUGAAUGAAGUGCCCGUUUCCUGUCCAAAACCGAAAAAAAAAAGUUUGGGUUUUUAGAGGAGGCGACCAGCAGUCCGGUACAGUACCAAACGCCAAGCCCGCUCGCCUGGAAAGGGAGAGAGUCAGCAAGGACGACCCCCCACCCCCCCGAUCAAUACGUGUAACGCCCGUCACUCUCGCUCCUUUUCAGCGCGUAAUUGCAGAGACAGACCGCGUAAUCUCCCUCCGCGAAACUAAUCCCGUCCCCAACCGCAACCAGCAACCCAAACUACCACACCGUCGGCACGGCGGCAGGGCCGGAGCUCAACGUCACGGUUCCCGAUGACGCCCGCCUGCCGCGGAGGCGAGCAGGCGACGGGCGGGCCCAACUACCUUCCUGCUGCCGCAAUACGUAUCCAUGGCGCAGCAGCUCGGCAUCAGUACGGGUACAGGGGAAAGGAAGCGAGGUCGUCAGAGACAGCGACGCGUGUCCUGCGUGCCGCGCCGGCGGCCGUCCGAUGCGGCCGGGCCCCGACUCUGUUCGAAAAUUUAUAGCGGGCGGUAGCGGAGCGGGCGUGGAAUCUGAGCACCGGCGUUUUUCCGGGCGAGCUCACGGCCGUCGCGGAGCCGCGGCCUCGGCGGCUUCCUCCCUCCGGUCCGUUCUGUUCCCACGCCCCCACGCGGCCGCACCACGCCACCACCCACCCGGCGCGUCGCUUCUUUAUUCCGCUCCCACCCGGCCUUGCGGCCUCACAUGCCAUUGUUGUUGUCGUUGCCAACCCCUCGCGGCCUCGCUCUACUUGCACCGGCUCCCCCAUCCCAUCCACCUGCUGCUGCUGCUCAGCCCUGAGCGCGAGGGGAGGGCGCUGAGCUACCGAGAGGCGAGAGGGCUCCAGCUCCCCGCUCGGCUCGUGUUGGGUCAACGCGUGCCGUGUGCUCGGAGGACGGCGGAGGAGAGGGAGGGCGCGGUGAUGCCGGCGCUGCUGGGUGCUUAGGUAGCUCGCCGCGGCGGCAAUGGAGGGGAGGAGGCGCGGCGCGGGGGGAGGCGGCGGAUCGGUGGCUGCGGUGGCGCUGUGGCUGCUGGUCGGCGUUUUGUUGAGCGGCGGCGCGGCCGGGCUCAACGCCGACGGGACGCUGCUCAUGUCCUUCAAGGCCGCGGUCACGGCGGACCCGCUGGGCGCGCUGGCCGGGUGGGGCUACGACGCCGCGGAGCCCUGCGCCUGGAACGGCGUCGUCUGCAAGGGAUACCCGCAGCCCGACGGCGCGGCGGCGGCGGCCGUGAACGUGACCUCGGCCUCCGCCUCCGACGGCGGCGGCGGCGGCGCCAACUCGACGACGGCCGCCUGGAACGGCACCGCGGCGGCGGGCGCGGGCGGCCUCAGCGCGUCGCUGGCGGCGGCCACGGUGUCGCGGGUCAUCAGCCUGGUGCUCCCCAACGCGCAGCUCUCGGGGGCGCUGCCGCCGGACCUCGGCCGCGUCGAGCACCUGCAGCACCUCGACCUCUCCGGAAACGCCCUCAACGGCAGCCUCCCGGCCGCGCUGCUCAACGCGACCGAGCUCCGGGUGCUCUCGCUCGCCGGGAACGGCAUCUCGGGGGAGCUCCCGGACGCCGCGGCGGCGUACGCGCGCGGCCUCCAGGAGCUCAACCUCUCGGGGAACGCGCUCGCGGGGCGCCUCCCCGCCGCGCUGUGCAGGCUGCCGAGCCUCGCCGUGCUGGGGCUCGCCGGCAACCGCCUCGCCGGGGAGCUCCCCAUCGGCGGGCUCGGGGCGCUGGAGCUCGUUGACCUGAGCGGCAACGACCUCAACGGCUCGCUCCCGUCGGACUUCGGCGGGAGCCGGCUCCGGCUGCUGAACAUGUCGUCGAACAAGCUCGACGGCGCGGUGCCGACGGAGCUGGCCGCGGUCGUGCCGGCGAACGCGACGGUGGACCUGUCGCGGAACAACUUCACCGGCGCGAUCCCGCAGGCCGGGCCGUUCGCCGCUCAGCCGGCGGCGGCGUACGAGGGCAACCCGGACCUGUGCGGUCCGCCGCUGAAGCAGGCGUGCUCGAUCCCGUCCUCGCCGUCGAACCCGCCAAACGCCACCGACUCGCCGCCGGCGUUCGCGGCCAUCCCCAAGAACCCCACGCGCGCCCCGCCGGGCGCCGGCGGGCAGCCGCAGGCGCCGCGCGACCAGGAGAAGCUUCGUCCGGCGGCCAUUGUCGCCAUAGUCGUCGGGGACAUCGCCGGGGUCGGGCUCCUCUUCAUGCUGUUCCUGUACGCGUACCACGUCAGGAAGAAGAGGCGGCAGCGGCGGGAGCAGGACCCGGCGCCGCCGAUGCAGCAGAAGAGCGCGCUAGGAAUCGACGGCGCGGUCAAGACGCUUGACAUCGCCGGAGGCAAAGAAGAUAAGGCGUCGACAUCGAUGCGGUGCUGCAUUGGCCGACGGCACGACAGCUCGGACAGCUCCGAGUGCUCGGUGUCGUCGGACGGCGAGUCCGACGACGGCGAGGACCUCAAGAAGCGAGGAGGCCUCAUCGGCCGGAGCACCCCGCAGGACCACGGCAGCAAGAAGCACAACCCACCCCAGCAGCAGGCGCCCCCCGCGCCGGCGACGCUGGUCACGGUCGACGGCGACGGCGAGCUCGAGAUGGAGACGCUGCUCAAGGCGUCGGCCUACAUCCUGGGCGCCACGGGCUCGAGCAUCGUGUACAAGGCCGUGCUCGCCGACGGUACCGCGCUGGCCGUCCGCCGCAUCGGCGAGAGCGGCGGCGCCGACAAGCUCAAGGACUUCGAGGCCCAGGUGCGCGCCGUGGCCCGGUUCCGGCACCCCAACAUCCUCCGGCUGCGCGGCUUCUACUGGGGCGCCGACGAGAAGCUCCUCAUCCACGAGUACGCCCCCAAUGGCAGCCUCGCCAACAUCGCUUUCAGCAGUAAGUCCUUCGUCUACCUCACACCAUUUCUUGUUUGUUACCACAUUCAGCACUAAAAUUUUGCUCAAGCAUUGGAAAGUUGCUUAAUUUGAUACCGACAUCUUAGCAGAACUAGCGAUUCACUUGUUGUACAGUUCAUAAUCUCGAGCUUCAAUCAUGUGCAAAGUUUGGCGGCAACGGCUUAGUCCUAUGAAAAGGUGGCAUCUUUACUGAUCGUACUGUGCUGCAGCUUAAAUGCGCAUUACUAGUACUAAUCCAUCUAUUGUCUAGAGCUUAAUCAUGCUGGUCAGAGGUACUGAUUGUACAAAAUUUUGUCAUUGAUCACAAUCACUGCAAUUCUUGAUGGCUCCUUGGUACUGGCAGUCCUGCUGACCUCCAAAUCAAGCAAAAAUCUGAAAGAACUGUCCUUGGUUGCUCGAGUAGUUGUGGAUUUACUCUGAAUUCAUAACUCAUUGGCAUUGUAUAUGCAACGUUCGCUUGAUCUGGUGAUGACCGGGGGUGAUGCCGCUGCGUGUGCAGGGCGGUUCGGGGCGUCGUCGCCGCUGCACCUGAGCCUGGAGGCGCGGCUGCGGAUCGCGCGCGGCGUGGCGCGCGGGCUGGCGUACAUCCACGAGAAGAAGGGCGUGCACGGCAACCUGAAGCCGAGCAACAUCCUGCUGGGCGCGGACAUGGAGCCCUGGAUCGGCGACCUGGGCCUGGACCGGCUGCUGUCAGGCGAGGCGGCCGGCCACCGCGCCGGCGCGUCGGCGCGGCUGUUCGGGAGCAAGCGAUCGAUGCACUCGACGAGCAGCCUGCCGGACCUGUCCCAGAUGCCCGGGCCGGGCGCGAGCCCCUGCGGGUCGGCGUCGGCGGCGGCGGCGACGUCGUCGGGCGCGGCGGGCGCCCCGUCGCCGUACCACGCGCCCGAGUGCCUCAAGAACCUCCGGCCCACGGCCAAGUGGGACCUGUACGCUUUCGGCAUGGUGCUCCUGGAGCUCCUCUCCGGGCGCGUCUACUCGGAGGUGGAGCUCUGCCAGUGGCACGCGGGGCUCGUCGCCGAGGAGCACGGCCGCGUGCUCCGGAUGGCCGACCCCACGCUCCGCGGCGAGGCCGACGGCAGGGAGGACGCGCUGCUGGCGUGCUUCAGGCUCGCCUUCGCCUGCUGCGCCAUGGCGCCGGGGAAGCGGCCCGCCAUGAGGGACGCCGUGACGGUUCUCGAGAGGGCGGCGGCGGCGCCCCCCGGCGCGCCGGCCGGGUCCAGCGCCGCCAUUCCUUGAGAGAGAAACUGACCUCGGGCUCGGAGGUGCUUGGUCGCGUUCACUGAUCGCAAUAAUUUUACUGCAAGGAUGGUGGUGGCUGUAAUCACUGGUGGCAAGUUAAGGUUUCUUUGCUAGAGCGUGUAGAUCUGUCACUAAUUUUUGGGAUUAACCUACUGAUCCUUCGUUUGUUUUUGAGAGUACUCUGCGAUGUCGCUCUCGCGCGUGCCCAGAAGAUUACUGAUUGCCGGCAAUGGCAUGUGUCCCGGCCCCGGCCGGCGCGGCCGGGGUCCGGUGUGCACGGCGGGCGGCAGGCGGCGGAAAUUGUGGUGCCCGCCAUGCAUGUCUGGUGUCUGCUCCGCUCCUGCUUCUCUCCAGUGCUCUUUCUCGUAUUCCUUCGCAGCACGAUCCAUGGUGGCGCCGUCGCCACCACCAUUGCCCUUCCUCGUCCUCGAGAUGGACCACGGGGCAGGCGAUUCUUUGUGGGGAGGUUGGGGAUGGUGCAGCAUUUAGUGCUUCGAGCGUGGAGCAGGCGGCCGUGUCGGCCGGGAGUGGCAGGGGUUUUUCUGCCGGCCCGGCCUGCAGUCCUGCGCUGCCCUGCUAGUACUCUCGCCUCGUGGCACGUGAUCUCGGCAGAGGUUAAGCCAGUGGCCACGGGUUUUCUUAGUGCUAAAACGCAACUGGUGACAGGUUAACAUCCAGUUCGUGACCUCAUAUGCCCCGGUUAAUGAGGUUAAACAAAUGUGGUAAAAGACUAAAAGGUUCAUGGCCGGCAUGCGCCCCAAGGGCAUGUUUGCUGCCACAGCUCACAUGCUGCAUUGCUUAGAAAAAUGGGAGUGGUAUGCAGACAAGGAUUGUGAAACAAGCUAGGCGAAGCAGGUCAGCCUGAACUCUUGAUGGUCAAGAGGAUCUGAAUGAACUCUGAGGGGAGUAGUGAGUGUGCAUAUUUAAGCAUGCUUCAGCCACACUGCUAAUGCACAUGCACAGCAUUUGCUCCUGUGCGAGAUGCAUGUAUUGUGUACUCGAGCAGCAACCUUGACUAGCAUUUCCCUCCAGUUCAGUGGCACAACUGAACCAGUCAAAAACAAGCAGAUAAAUUCCACCUAUAUGAUUGUACACUGUUAUAAGUUGUGUGUGCAAGUGUGCAACAGAUCCAACAGUAAAACAGUAGUGUUAAAUUACGAGUAAACAGCUGAAGAUGGGGGAUGUACUGGAUGAUAAGAUAAUGGGUCAUCAUAGUGUCCGUCACAGCAGAUCCAGCCUGCAGAUCUCUAGUAUCGCAUCAGCACCAUCUUUCAUUAGUUUAUAAGAACUAGUACAAAAAUAUGAGUGAGGAAGCUUAAUCAGAUCUCACACCAUGUGUGAGUUAGCCACCCAGGGUGAGCAAACUUAGAGAAACAGAAUUAAAAAACCUGCAUAAAAUAUCUACAGAGCAGAACUCGAGUUCAGGUUUACCUAAUACCUUGAUGCAGACAUUCUCCAGAACUCAUCAGAUAGCUGUCUGGUGUUACUAGAUCCAGUGCUGCAUGUUAAGCUCAGGGUUCAGAGAGCAGAAAAUAAGCAUCUUUUGUCUAUGCUAGCAGGUGGUCAAACAUGACGUUGCCUUGUCAGUUGAUCAGGAACUUCUGUUGGCAUCAUACUGGGAUGAUCUUGGAUUUAGUACUUGAUCACAUGAUGCCGCAGCCACAGCACAUACAUGAACAUGUGAAUGGUUCCUCUGCAGUAUUGCAGAGGAUGUUUGUCCAUGAAAUGCAUCAUAUGGGAUAGGAGGUCACUCGAAGACUCAAAGUGCUUCCGGAAUCUGGACCUGCAAUUUCAGGCGAGUUCUUACUACAGUGCUUUAUCAAAUUUGACGGCUCCCUAUCUUCAAUUUUUUUUGGAGGCUCCUUAGUCCUUAGUAUAGUGCUAUAUUGAAACUUCAGAAUAACAAAAUGCUCUCUAGUCAGGGGGAUAACUACGAACAGAUAGAAUCACAUCCAAAGAACAUAGUUGCUCUAGUGAUAGUCGUGAUGCUAGUAUGCUACUGAUUUGCAAAGGACUACAUGUCACUCUGUUACUCAAGAUAAGCAUACCUUAACCAGUGACUUGUGUAACAUGAUGGACUCUUCCUGUGAUAGAUAGAGACUUCAAAAUACUCUUAAGCUGGAACACACCGUUCCCUUUCAGUAUGACUGUAAACCAGCUUAAGUCAUCCUAUUAGAACGAAUACAAACGGAAUAAUAGUCCCAAACGCGAAUUGAGCAUACCUUAGCUGUUCACCUGGGUUGGUUAAAGUCUCCACUCUCCAACUUGGAGCGGCUCUUGAGAUCGACAUGGCUCAUGUCUCAGGUUAGGAUAGGGUGCUCAUGCGUGCACACGAGUGUUUGCAUCUAUGUUUCGAAGAAAAAGUCUAGCAUAUAAUGUCCAAUCUCUAAAUGCAAAACAAAGAGGUUCUCUAAUCUCUGUGUCUAUGUAUAUAAUGUCACCUGCUUAAAUUACAUUAUGUUGCAGAACGAAACAGUUCUGACGGGGACGUAAAAAUAUCCAAACAAACCCACAGUACGAUUCCGGUGCCCCAGGCUUCAGGAUCACCGAGAGCUCACUGCCAAGAGCGCGGCGAGUCCAGCUACCAACAAGCAAAGGCCAGAGCUGGUGCCAGCCGUCGUGGCUCCGCUCUUAGUGCUGGAAUCAUUUGAAGACAAUGCAGCGCCAUGACCACCAACGGUUACUGGUGGCAGCAGCGGAUCCACGACGUCGGCAGGUUCUAGCACCGGCGCUGGACCCUGCGCCGGUGGCAGUGCAUGGGGGUCUGUCACGUUGAGCAAAGACCCGGGCCUUGGAGGCAUGGCCGUGUAGGUCAGGUUCUUACUGAAGUCACUGCAUGGGCUCCCUGCAUUGCAGUCACAAGAGGGAUAUGGAAGAAAUGUGUAAGCUUCACGCUGAUACAAAUAUGGAUAAUGUGAAAUGCUAGCAGUUACACAUGCAACGCUGAUGGGCAUAUAGCACUACUCACUGAAGUACUCAGCUGCCGUUGCAGGGAACUCGGUCAUGAUCCCUUCAGCCAUCAGAGACGAGUACAGCACGAUCUCCGCCAUUGGGUUAGCACAGAAGUCAAAUGCAAGGUUCAUGAACUCGUCCCUGAGCACCCUGACGUACACUGACAGGUUUGCGCUGUGCAUCUUGUCGAUCACAUCAGUGAACCGCACAAGGAAUGACCCUUGCGCCUCGACAACUAAGCCACAGCUGAUGGACACAGCGUCUGCAAAUUUGGCCACCUCCUCCACAGACUGUUUGGAGGCGUCGCUGAUCAUGUGGCCGAUCUGGAGGACCCGCUUGAACCCUGGGAACUUACUGAAUGCUACAAGCACGGCGUAGUCGUCCGACGCAAUGAGGAUCUGCUGCCUGGUAUCUUUGUCGUAGCUGGCAUUGACAAGCGCACUGGAAACAGCAUCCACAAUGCUGAUGCCUCUGGUUGCUAGGUGCGGAGCAUUCUGCAUUGACCACAACAGCAUUCAUCUAAAACUCGAAAUGAAUUAGAAUGGCAUGCAAGAAUGGAUUUAAGAAAGCUUGCUUACACUAAUGUCAACUAGUAUGCCAGAGACGUUGCUUCUCUUUGAGAAGGCCAGGAAAUCAGCUAAUGCCAUGAGUUUCCCACUGUUCUUUGCUGCUGGAUUUCUUGUUAGUCCUUCUUGAUUGAACGGGCCAACAAGGUCAGCUGAAGGGACCAAAAUGAAGUUGUUAGCGUGGAACAUGCUAGCAUUUUGAAACAGAACUUGUGGCAAAGCAAAUGAGGUUAUACUUACGCUUUAGGUUUUGGAUCUCGCUCCAUGAAAGAUCAAAUGAGAAGAUGCCAGACCCGUUCUGUAUUUCAUUCACAUUGGCAACUUUUGUCAUGAACAUUGUUGCCGCUGUUGUGCCUUUUGUAAGAUCUGGAGAGUCCAUGCAAAAUGGCACUGCAUCCUUCGACAUCUGUACUGAACAGUCGAUUAUAUCUGUGCCGUCUUCCACUGCUUAUCGAUAUGCAAGGUCGGAGGCACCGGGGAAGAUGCCACUUGCACCAUUGUGGGUGAUGAUCAGUGGCCUGGUAUCAUCUAGUCAAGUUCAGAUGUUAGGUCAUUGCAAAAUGGCAAAAGUAUCAAUUAUGACAACAGGUUGAAGGACAGGCUUCUUACUUCUGGGAGGAGGAAGAGGGUUGUCCUUAGUAUGUGCUAAACAGGCUGCAAAAAGAGACAGACCCUAAAAAGGUUAAAGAGUGCACAACAGAAUCAAGACAUUCAUUGUUUUCAACGACCAGGUCAGAUUACAAGAAUUGUCUUGUCGAGCAUAAUAACAUGCAAACAAUGUAGUGGUAAUUGAACUACUCUAUUUGUGAACAUCAGUUUAGCUUUUCCAAACAUGUAGUGGUCCUUACCAAUGGCUGCUGAAGCUGUGGACAGGAAGUCCGUGAGGACACCAUCAACAGAGAAGUCAGAAUUAUCAAUAAACUGCAAAUACUCGGCACUAGGAUCAUAGCUGUAGUUGUAACUUGAGAUGGAAUCAUUGGCAAACUUAAAUGCAUAGACCUCCAAGCCUAGGGCAUGAGCAUCUUUCACCAAAGUAGUAGUUGGUUGCAAGUACUGAUCCUUGUUCACAGGCCAAAUGUAAUUCUUGGGGACGAGAAUUCCUGAGGCAAAAGUCUUGACUGAUUUCAAGUCCUUUAGAAUGGCUCCAUAGGUUUGUUUUGUGGAAGGUUCGAUGAGUUUCUCAUCAAGAAACCGUAAAACGAACUUCACAUUGCUCUUCCUCAGCUUCCCACCAAGGCUUUUAAGGAAUCCAACUUCAGGUGAGGAGACAUAAUUGACCCCAAAUUCUUUCGCUUUAGAUGAUAUAUAUUUUUCGAUAUUUAAUUUGUGAACUGACCAUACUACAAAUGGGAAGGUAAGAACAGCUAUUAGCAGGAGUAUAGUUUAACGAGUGUGAAUCCGAUAGUCUAAAUACAGGGGAAGAACUAUAGCUAGCAGUGAAAACAUGCUUACCUGUACAUUAAUCCAAAAUUGAGCAGGGUGGAGUCCUACUACAUCAUCAACAAGGCUCAUUCCCGUGGUGCCAUCAAAUAUGCUCGGGCGAGACAGAACAUUCUGGAUCACUACGGGACGAUCAGAGUGUGACAUGCUAAGUCAAUACUGAUUGGAGUUAAGAGCAAGAGAAAUUAAAUAUGGUAAGAAUCCCAAUCGUAUAGGAAGGACAUGCAAACAGUUAAUUUCAUGACUUUUGUGAAUAACUUCAAGCAUACAGAAUAAACAAGACCAUGACAAACUUCUUGGAAUGUUGCUCAAGUUAUUUUUACUCACAUGUGACAUUGUCCAUUAACUGAUUUGAAGUGAAGUCGACUGAAAACCAUCCAUGCAGAUCAUCUCCAUUCACUUUGUAUGUCUUGGCAUUCUUAGGGAAGACCUCAGCUAUUAGCGUUGAGUUGUCAAGUGCCAGGCCAGUCUUGCAGAAUCCAACAUUGUCACUAGAAAGUUGCAGAUCGCAGAAAAGAAUAGCUUCAGGGAGACUAUUCAUGCAGAUUGGCUUGAAUCAGGGAACAACCCAGAGUACCCACCACGAGCUAUGACUAAUGGAGGAGCACCUAUAGAGUAAGAGGGUCAGCAAUAUCACGCUGUACCAUGCAAUGACUGCAUAGAAUUGUUCAAUCAAAUAAUUUUGUUUUAGAAAUACAAGGCGUUAGCAUAUUUACCACUUAGAGUCCGCCAUUUCUGUAUUGGGUCCUUCAAAGCAGCACUAGCUCCGUGAAGCAAUAGCAGGAUAAGAAACAUAUGAGAAUAUCUUACUCCCAUUUGGGUCGGAAGGGCACCCUGCAUUAGGAAAUGGCUCUGUGAGAUGUACAUAUGGAAGAGUUGCGGAUGAGAAGAGAAAAGCAUAAUGCACAGACAUUGAAACAAUGACAUCUAACAGAUGAAAACUGAAACAAUUUGCCAUAACUGUAAACCAACAUCUAUUUGAUGCAAAUAAAAAAUUAAUAAAACAAGGGCAACAGCAUUCAGAAUCAAUGGAAAAACACAAAAGGUCAAAUGAUUGCAAUGCGGGAACAUAACCUCACACCGCAUUUGAGGAAUGCAAACAGCUGUGUGUGAGCCUUUUGCUUUUUCACAUUUUCCUUGUAAUAAAAGAUUAAAAAUUGAAGAAACAAGUAAAUGAGAAACAUAAUCUCAAAAUGUAUGAAGAAUCUAAAUAAACAUGAUAAGGAAAGAAAACCAACUAUGAUCAUGAGACUUUAACUUCUUGACAAAAGCUAUCCACCAAACCCAUAAAAGAAGGGCUUAAACUCUCAAUGCUAGAUUGUGGACAGGAGGCAAAAGAGGAGGUUUUGUCAAGACCAACCAAAGUAGUGCUUUAAAAGGCCACCACCAGUUGGGAGCGUUAGCCUAAAAAACUAACUAGCACAGAUCGUAACUUAUUCAGUAGUAUCUUUGGCAGAACGUGGAAGAGAUAAUUGUCUUGACAUGGGUGAGAAAGAAUAACAGCUCUGUAAUAAAUACUUAUGGGUGGUUUCUUUCUAAGGUGAUUAUGAUGUCAGUCACAAAGUUGCACAGUAUUGUCUUAACUCUCACCUGCUGUGAAACUCACAUAGAAUUACAUGUUUCAGGAGCAACUUAUGACUAACUGAAUGUACUGUUAAAACUGGCAUAGAGAAAUUUUUUUCUCCUAGUAAAUUCCUCAGACAAGUAAGAACGGAAAUAAGUUUACCUCAAUAUAUGGUUUGUACGAUUCUUUAGCACCCUCAAUAAAUUGUAUCUUCCACAUCAGCCGCCAGAUCUGUCAAGAUGGCUUCCAUUGCCAUGCUCCUCCUGAACAGGAUUAACUGUCACCCUGCUGUUGCUGGCCUUAGUCGUGACAUCCCCAUUGUGAUGGCCUGGAUCACGGCUCAAUAGCCAUCAUCCUUGUUACACCCUCCCAAUUUUCUGAAAACAGGAAGUGUCUACAAGAAAUAGGUAGCCAUACCUGUCCACAUGACCAGGACAAGAAGACUUAUAAGUAUAUAACUACUACUAGCAGUAGAUGGGUAAUCAGAUGAGUUUUUCUAAAUUUUAGAACAUUGUACCCAUCCUGUCACCAAUGUCUCUAUUGCUCUCAGCCAAAUUUCCUCCAGCAGUGAGCUACAUGGUUGCAGCUCAUCAACUGUCACACUCCCAUGGAUCUGUAGCACUCUAGCAACAAUACAUGGAGAAAUGAAUAUAUCCCAGCUGUACAGCAUUGGAAACAUGUUGGUCAUUGUUCUCACGUUGGAAUUGUAUCAGGCUAUCAUUUUCUCCUUAUUUUAUUUCUUAAUUACUUGUAUACCGAUUAAAUAAAAAAUCAGUGGAAGUGUUUUUUUCCUAGAACAUUGCAUUAAGAAGAAGAAAGUAUUGAAGUUCAACACAUCCUAACAGAUUACAUUCGCACCUCAGAAACAUAAUAAGUGACCUACAGAAACAACAAUAAGCUAAAGGGCAGUGCCGCCAGUCGCAGCUAGCUGCAAUAAACCUUUAACCCCAGCCAAGCCCCAGAGGUGAGCUUCUUCGCCGGCGAUGCUGAAAACCUUUUGAAGGCAAGGCACAUCACCACUGAAAACACAGUCACAGUCACUUCAUUGAUUCCAGAUCAACCAAGCUCCUAGAAGAAUCAGUGAGUUUAGCCCAGGCUUCAACGGAAUGUCAACCAUGCCACUAAUCUUCAAACACCAAACAGACUAUGUCAUCAGGUGGUGGCGACAAGUCCGGUAGGCAAAACCACCUAAACAAGAGGAAAAACCUGUCUUGAGAAAACACAUGAUGUCAUAAUAUGCUGAAUAUUUGUGUCACUUGAUCACAGAUUGGCAGCAUUCGGGAUGCGGCAAGCCCCUUCGAGCUGUCCAACCAAGCCAAAGAAAAAAAUUGGCAUUUCCUAGGAGCCCAUGAGUGGAAAAACUGUUAAAGGAGCAAGACGGGGGAAAAAACAAUGGAACUUUUCUUAAAACUAAUAAUGACUUUUAGAACAUUUCAUUAAACCAGCAAAGCAUAUCUGGAGAAGUCUAUAGAUGCCUAAGAUAAUUAAACAAGCCGAACUUGAGAAGAAGCAUGUGAAGAAGAGAUUUUAUUCCCCUUGUACUGACAUGAUAUUAGAAAUAAGAUUAUCUAAUGGAUCCCAUAUCACAAUUGGGACAAAAGUCUCAAUUUCAGUACAUAUGAUAUGAUUUAGACACGUCGAAACCACCACAUUGCAUUUCCAGCGCUUAAUAUUGAUCCCCUUAGAUCCCAUUGAGUGUGAUCACAAUCUGGCGAGGAGUAGCAUAGUCUCGAUGUUCACAGAGCCAUAUACCCU